CGUUGGUAAGUUGCACCGGCGUUUUUGAGGCCGAAGGGCAUUACCUUAUAGCAAUAAGUUCCGCGAUCGGUAAUGAACGCAGUCUUCUCGCGAUCGUCGGGAUUCAUCCUAAUUUGAUUAUAACCUGAGAAGGCAUCCAUGAAGGAUAAAAGUUCGUUGCCCACUGUUGCCUCUACCAAUCGAUCGAUAUGUGGUAGAGGGAAGCUAUCCUUUGGACAUGCUUUGUUUAGGUCGGUAAAAUCCACGCAAACUCGCCACUUCCCGUUUUUCUUUUUGACUACUACAGGGUUGGCGAGCCAGUCUGGGUUUCUUACUUCUGUUAUCGACCCAACUUUAAGCAAUUUUUCGAUCUCAUUGUUUACUGCGGCAGCACGUUCGGGUCCUAGCUUCCGCCUUUUCUGCUUGAUGGGUUUGAAUGUUGGGUCGAUAUUCAACUCGUGACAUGUUAUGUUAAUGUCGAUCCCCGGCAUAUCUUCCGCAGCCCAUGCGAAUGUAUUGAGGUUCUUUUUAAGACAGGCUAUGAGUUCUGUUCUUAAAGGCUCGCGGAGAUUGCUCCAAUCUCGAUGCAGCAUUCCGGGAAGGCUUCGUCGAGACAGAUCGUCACCACGGGUUCGAAUGUUGGCUCACGUUUUUCGUCUAGAGCUUCGAUGCUGCGAGAUCGCCAGAAGAGUUCCGCUGAAUCUUGACCUCGUGUAUCUUUGCUGGAGGUCUUUUUCUCCUCUUUUCUAGGAGUGAUCUCGAGGAUUGGUCUUUUUCGUUUCAGUUCCGCGGCGAAGCAAACCUGUAAGACUCUCAGAUUUCCCCAUAUUACCUCGACUCCGUUAGGGGUCGGGAACUUGAGGCAAAGAUCGUACGUUGAUGGGAUUGCGCGCAUGGCGUUUAGCCAUGGCGUCCCCAUGAUAACGUUGUAAGAUGCGGGAUGGUCAACGACUAGAAACUCUAUGACGUUCGUCACGGUUCCGGCUUUGACAGCGAGAUUAAUCGAUCCGUAGGCCAUGGUUAUUUCCCCCAAAAGUCCCAGCAGUGGGCUUGGGUAUUUUGUGACUUCGGAUUGAUUGAUCCCCAUUUUUUUGAGCGUUUCUUUGAAGAUGAUAUCGGCCGAACUACCGGUGUCGAUAAGCACCCUAGCGAUGUCGAUAUCUCGAAUCGUCAACUCGAUGACAAGGAGGUCGUUUCGAGGUUUCGCCCGAUCGACCGUUGCUCCCCCCUUGAAUGAGAUGACGUUCGCGCACGUCGAGUCUUGCAUAUCAUUUCUGAUCGUUGAGUGGCUUUUGCGGGUUAGAUUGAUCCGUACCGUCCCCCUCCUUCUAGCGCCAAACUGUGGGAACCGAAAUUCGCACUGUCGAUUUCCGUUUAAAUAAGGAAACUAGGAAAACCCUAAUUUCCCAGAGGACCCGGAUAUCUGCUAAUUACCACACGUCAAGGAAUCAGAACACGAGAAUAACAACGAUAAGAAUAAGAAAUCGAAAAAGAGAGCAAAGUAGAUCUUAUUCCGAAUCUACGUAUGAGCGUUUACAACAAGGUAUAAGCCUAGGCUCGAGAGCUGUCGGCGAGAUUCCUAGUUCUAGCAACCCUAAGACGGCUAAACCUAAUUGAGUCGCAGCUCGAAAUAACAAAAACGGAAAAUUGCCAAAAUUGCUCUAAGUGCUAAGUUUGCUCUGAAAAGUCCUCCCUCCAUGCUCCUCGCCUAGGACUCCUAAUAUACUAGCUCCAAGGUCGGUCUACACUUUUACUCUUCUGCCCUUAAGCCGUCAUAGCAUAAAAAUGGAAAUAUUCCAUUUUUCCCGAUCUUCCAAUUAUCUUCAAAACUUCCGUAUUUAUCCGCGGAAAAUUGACAUUUAUCCUUCUUUGUGGACCAAGCGUAAACCGUGCUGCGGUUUACGGACUUUUGGUUAAGAAAUCGUAGGAUGGGCCUCGAGUCGUGUUUUAGAUCCCUUUGGGCCGUCUUCCGACUCGACACGUUUACUACGAAUUCUUUUCGAUAAAGAACGAACUUUCCGCGGUUUCUAAUCCGCGAAGUUUGAUUGAUGGACUUGAAUAGCGGAAAACAUGGACUGAGCUUGCUACGGUCUUCGGGAGAUAGCAUUCGAAGGUUUGACGAGAAUGCAUGGAUUGAUGUCGUAUCGAUGUUCGGAAGGGUUCAAUCGCUACACAGCGACUGAACUUCGGCUCGAGCCCGGUUGCUACGUAGCGACCGAGCNNNNNNNNNNNNNNNNNNNNNNNNNNNNNNNNNNNNNNNNNNNNNNNNNNNNNNNNNNNNNNNNNNNNNNNNNNNNNNNNNNNNNNNNNGCGGGAAGAUCGCUCGGUCGCUAUGUAGCGACCGAGCUUUGGCUCGAGCUCGGUCGCUAUGUAGCGCCGGAGCUUUGGCUCGAGCUCGGUCGCUACGUAGCGACCGAUCGGGACGGACGUUUGGUCGCUGCGUAACGACCUGUUUUGAGCUUUCGUCGGACAUCUCGAUUCUUUCUUCCGUAAAGCUUUUUCGUAAGGAAAAAUCUAUUUCGAAAUGUACUCUUCGGAGAAAUUCUUAUUUUCUCCCUCGGACGUUUUGAAUGUUAAAUUUGUCAUAACCGUUUUUGACCCCAACAAUUGUGAUCCCAUCCUCCUUCUCCAUCACGAAGCCACCACUAUACCUAGCAUCAUCAUCUUUCCAAGAUGCGUCGAACCUGCAAAACGGGCGCAUUGAUGGUGAAUCUUGUGUUACGGGUAAAGGCGUUCUGUCCUCCACCUCCCGCUUCUCCGGAACUACGUGCGCCAGGCUCCAGCUAUCAGCUUCCGAGGUCGCAGACUGGAGAAUUUCCAAUGGCGUCAAGUCCUUACCUUCGAAGACCUUGCCGUUUCGUGAUUUCCACAUGAACCAUAUGAUCCAUGGGAUUCUGGCCAACACGUCGUCCGGCAUGUCUUGUUUUUUAAUUCUGUUCAGGAGGUAAUCGAAGUUACUAUAGAUGGAGGGGCUCGGAAACUCCCCACGGAGUGAGAGAUGUAGCGCGAGAGCCCAUGUUUGAGUGGCCGGGGGACACUCAAAAAGCAUGUGAUUUACUGUCUCAUCGUUGUGCCCACAUCUUUGGCAAGAUCGAUCUGAAUGGCAAUGCCGGUCAGUCAGUCGACUGCAAACAGGAACACAGUUUGAUAAGGCUUGCCACAUGAAGUGCUUGAUUUUACGCGCCGUAUUUGUUGCCCACACUUGGUUAAUGAGGCUUGUGAUGCUAGGCUCUACGCAAAGCUCCGUCCUCUACUCAUUUUCAGAGCGACAUAUCUCGUCAUAUCCUGUUUUGACGGAGUAGGCUCCUGAUCUCGUAUGGAUCCAGCAAAAACUAUCAACCUUGAAGGACCCGCUGAUACGGAGGCUGCGUAUCAGAUGUAUGUCUUCAGGGGCUAUCACGGCUUUUAGCGCUUCCACAUUCCAACUCUUGGUUUCGCGAUCAAUGAGUUCAUAAACCGAAAGGUUUGGCUUCUGAAUCGGAGCAACACCAGUAGGUGGUCUAGGCGGGGUUGAAGGGAUCCAAGGUUCGUACCAUACCCUGGUAUUAUAUCCAGAUCCAAUGGAUUUACGCAGACCGGAUUUCAUUAGUGGCUUGGCCGCCAUUAUGCUGCGCCAUACAUAUGAAGGUUGACUAGCUUUCUCAACAUCAAUCGGAUUUGAAGUGGCUGGCCCGCCAUUAUGCUGCGCCAUACAUAUGAAGGUUGACUAGCUUUCUCAACAUCAAUCGGAUUUGAGUUGCGAAAGUAUCUCCCCUUCAGUACUUUGGCCAGUAGUGAUGAUGGGUAUUGCACCAGCCGCAACAGUUGCUUCGCCAACAAGGCAAGGUUGAAAUUUUUCAGAUCACAAAAACCCAAACCACCUUUUUCUGUAGGUAAGCAAAUCUUAUUCCACACUACCCAGUGCAGGCCCCGAUUAUUUUGCUUGGUACUCCACCAGAAUCUCGCUAUUGCGCUUGUCAAUUUUUUAAUAAUGUCUUGCAGCAGUAGGAAGCAAGACAUUACAUAAGAUGGCAGAGCUUGCGCAACCGAUUUGAUGAGGACCUCCUUACCUCCUUUGGAAAGUAGCUUUGCUGACCAAGAAUUUAGCCGACUCAUUAGCCGUUCCUGGAUGAAGGUAAAGGCCUGUCUCUUUGACCCGCAGAUUUUCUCCGGGAGGCCCAGAUAAACUCCCAUACCUCCCUCUCGAGUUAUUCCUAAAGCUUCUUUAAGUUCAGUCUUGAGUUCAGGAGGGACCUUACUGCCGAAGAAAAUUGAAGAUUUUGCAACGUUUAACUGUUGCCCAGAUGCACUGCCAUACUCCCCAAUAAUCUUCAUGAGCUCACGACACUGUUGGAUUUCAGCUUUGCAGAAAAAGAGACUAUCAUCCGCAAAGAGGAGAUGGGAGAUCGGAGGACUAUCUCUCGCAAUCUUUAAACCCGUAAUUCUUCCUUCUCUUUCCGUUCCCCGGAUUUGGGAUAUUAGUGCCUCCGUUAAGAUUAUGAAGAGAAAAGGUGAGAGCGGAUCUCCUUGUCUGAGCCCUCUGGAGGGUGUGAUAUUGCCUUUUGGUUCUCCAUUGAUGAGUACAUUAUAUGAUACGGAGGAGAUGCAUACGUGUAUCCACACAAUCCAUCGGUCCGUAAAGCCCAUCUUCCGCAUCAGUGCCUCUAGGAAGGACCAUUCCACUCUAUCAUAUGCUUUACUCAUAUCGGUCUUUAUCGCCACAAACUUUGAUUUACAUCUCGGAUUUGUCCUCAAGGCAUGGAAGACUUCUUAUGCAACUAGGAUGUUAUCGGUAAUAAGUCCCUUAGCCACAAAGGCUGACUGGGUCUCCGAGAUCAGACCCGAGAGAUGGUGUUUAAGACGGUUACUAAGAAUUUUCAAGACGAUUUUAUAGCUUACAUUCCAUAAGCUUAUUGGCCGAAACCCCGUCAUCUCGCAUGGCCGAUCAGUCUUAGGGAUAAGACAAAUGUUUGUUUGAUUAAGUCUUGGGUCAAGGGUUUCAGACAUAAAGAUUUCUCGCACUGUGCGGAAGAUUUCGCCAGCAGUGAUACCCCAAAAUUUCUGAUAAAACAAACCCAUCAGCCCAUCUGGCCCUGGUGCCUUGUCCGAGUUAAUGGCAAAGAGAGCCUUUUUGAUCUCGUCGUCUGAUGGGGCGCGAGUGAGUGACUCAUUUAUAUUCGUGGUAACCUUCUCGGUAACAUACCGGAGGGCUUCAUCAAAAUUCCCGGGGUUGGAGGUGGUGAAUAGAACUUGGAAAUAUUCUUCUGCAACCUUAUCAAUGUCUUCUUCUUUCUCUGCCCAUCCCCCCUGGGGGUUUUUCAAUUUCGUGAGCCUAUUUUGGGCACGCCUCUGUUUCGUCGUGGCAUGAAAAGGCUUUGUAUUCCUAUCGCCCUCCUUGAGCCAGUUAGCCCUACUCUUUUGCUUCCAAUAAAGUUCUUCGUCUCUGAAGGCCGAGCAUAGAUCCCACUUUAGCAGAAGUAUCUCAUCAUUCGAGAUUGUGUGGGAACCGAAAUUCGCACUGUCGAUUUCCGUUUAAAUAAUGAAACUAGGAAAACCCAAAUUUCUCAGAGGUCCCGGAUAUCUGCUAAUACCACACGCCAAGCAAUCAGAACACAAGAAUAACAACGAUAAAGUUUAAGAAAUCGAAAAGAGAGCAAAGUAGAUCUUAUUCCGAAUUCGCGUUUGAGCGUUACAACAAGGUAAGAGCCUGGGCUACAAGAGCUGUCGGCGAGAUUCCUAGUUCUAAAACCCUAAGACGGCAAUAACCUAGUUGAGUCGCAGCUCGAAUAACAAAAACAGAAAUAUGCCUAAUUGCUCUAAGUGCUAAGUUUGCUCUGAGAAAAGUCUCCCCCAUGCCUCUCGCCUAUGACUCCUUAUAUACUGGCUUCUAGGUUGGUUUACGCUUUUCCUCUUCUACCCUUAAGCCGCCAUAGCAUAAAAAUGGAGAUAUUUCAUUUUUUUCGAUCUUCGUAAUUAUCUUCAAAAUUUCAUUUCUAUCCGCGGAAACUUGAAUUUUAUCUUUCCUUGCGAACAAAGCGUAAACCGUCAUGCGGCUUACGGGCUGUUGGUUAAGAAAUUGUAAGUUGGGCCUCGAGUCAUGUCUUAGGUCCCUUUGGGCCGUCUUCUGACUCAAAGCAUUUAUUACGGCUUCUUUCGAUAAAGAGUGAACUUUCCGCGGUUUUUACCGUAAAGUUUAAUCGAUGACUUAGAAUGGCGGGAAACAUGAAAUGGGUUCGCUACGGUCUUCGGGAGAUAGCAUCGAAGGGCAGACGAGAAUACAUGGACUAAUGUCGUAUCGACGUUUUGGAAGAGCUCGGUCGCUACGUAGAGACCGAGCGGACGAGCGCUCGGUCGCUAUGUAGCGACCGUCCGCUCGGUCUCUACAUAGCGACCGAGCGGACGAACGCUCGGUCGCUACUUAGCGACCCUUUUCGAGCUCUUGUCUGAUGUCUCGUGUUUCCUCCGCAAAGCUUUUUGUAAGGAAGAAUCUAUUUCGAAAAAGUAUUUAUCGAAGAAGGUUUUUCGUUCUCUUCUUCGGACGUUUUGAUCGUUCACUUCGUCGUAUCCAUAACCGAUAUGGGCAUGUUUCCGAUGGCUUAUGCUUGAUAUCAAUAGAAUUCGAACGAAGCUUUAUCUCGGGAACAUACGUUGUGACGUUCUCUUGAUCGAGCAUGAUUUGUUGUGAAAAGACAUACUUGUAUUUUGCGGGGAUUUGGACGUUAAUUUCGUCGCAACCGUUUUCGACCCCAACAGAUUGUAUCAUCUAAUUGUGCUUUCUCAAGCUUCUCUUUCAGUUCCUCAAUACGAACGACAGAGUUUAAGAGAUUCGCUCGCUUCCAUUGGGCGAUAGCUUUGCGGCACAUCGCGAUACGCUCAUGGAGGUCAGGCGGGUGCAGGUUCCCUGGAUCACUCCAUCCUUUCAGGAUCGUCUCUCUAAACCCAUCUCUAUCUAUCCAUCUCUUGUCAAACUUGAACCCCCUUCUUCCUUUACCUCUUUUGGAGAGAAAACGGGUGAGAAUAGGACGAUGGUCGGAGCCCCAAAGGCGCAAGUACUCCACAUUCGUGUGGGAAUAAAGAUGAUGCCAGUCUUCGUUUCCAACGGCCCUAUCCAGCUUACAUUGAACCUUUCCAGAGCUUCUGUUGCCCACCCAAGAAAAAGGGUUUCCUUUAGAUGGGAAAUCAAUCAUCCUGCAGUUUGCCAGCAUCGUUUUGAAGGGUAUAAACGAGCUAUCAGGUCUUCGCCUCCCACCUUUUUUUUCAUGGUUGCCUGUGAUAUCAUUAAAAUCUCCCAGCAUCAGCCAGGCACCAUUUCUCGUGAGGCUCAUUAUGGUGAGUCUUUCCCAUACAUUUUCUCGGCAUUCAACUACCGGAUCACCAUAGACAAAAGUAAUGAAAACUCUUUGUCCUUCUAGUGUAGCCACAAUAUCAAUCAUGCGAUUAUUAGAAAAAAGAAUCUCAACAUCAAAAGAAUCCAAGUAAAAAAGUGCUAGUCCACCGCUUCUGCCUUCCGGCUCCACAGUGAACAAUUUAUUAUAACCAAACUCAAAUUGAAAGUCUUGCAAAAAGGAAAAAUUAUUUUUUGUUUCUGAAAGGAAAAGAAAAGAAGGAGUAAAGCAAUGAUGCAGCUCGCUGAGGUGCUGCUUUGUCAGGUACGCACCAGCCCCCUGACAAUUCCACGCGAUGGCACUCAUGAUCUCUUACUGUGUGGUUUCUGGGACACCACCGAACCUGAAAGAGACAAAGUUUUCUUGCUUAGAGCAGAAGGGUACACCUCAAUACGAGGGAGUUUGUGAGAGGGAUGAGCUGCGGCCUUACUUGAGGUAUUCCCUUUUUUCACCUUCGGAGAGGUGCGUCCACGAGCGGCGUUCAGUUUCCUUGAAGCUCUUGCCGCUUUUGCAUCAGGGCUCUUUGGAACGUUCCUUUUCAAAACACCUGCGGGCUUACGAGUUUGAGUAACCGGAAGCUUUGAAGCAGUCCCAUCGUGAGACAUUACAGUAUCUAUAUUUGUUCUUUGGCGCAAGCUUGCAUAAUCUGCACUCCUCCUCUCCGGUGUCGAGCUCACUGGGAUGUCAUGUUGUGGGUCUUGAAUCUCAGUAUGUACUGGAGAGAGUUGAGUUAAAGCAUCAAUCUGCACUGCAUCAAAACCAGGAGCAUCUCCAAGCAAAUCAUCAUUAGCAAUCAUUUCAUCGUCCAUUUCUAGAUUCUCAAAUUCCUUGACAGAUUUUUCAAUGUUUUCAAGAUCGGUCUCAGUCAGCACCAUUGAAUCCAGAUUAGGACCAUGUAUCAUAUCCACAUCCAUUUCGGUAUUAUCAUUACUUAUAACAACUCUGGUGGGUGUGAUCAGCGGUCCAGGAGCCACGUACCAUGUAGCUGCCGACAGAGGCUGCUCAGUAGGUUCGCGAAUAGAUAGAGGAGCCAGUCUAUUUAAUGCUGACAUGGCAUGGAAAUCUUUUUCCUUUGAAGUCGGUGUCUCAGAGGCAAUGCCCUUUCCUUUAGGGCGUCUGCGUUCAAUCUCAGCAUCAGCAUUUUGUAUUUCCCCUGGUUCCAGACCCAUGACAUUCUCUGAGAUCGUACGCUGGGAGUCCACAUGAGAAUUUGAGAACUCACUGUCGAUCCUUGCUUUUGCUGCUGAACUACGAGCCUCUCUAGGAUAGGUAGUCGCCUGGUUAGGGCGAGGUCUCCAGCUAAGUUUAGGUUUAGCUCCAUAGUUCCUUGAGCUCCUACCAUCUCUGUUCCGACGGUAUAACUCGCUACUUUGGCGUGGCACAUUGCCAGAGUCCCGGUCUUUUUGGGGUCUUUCAAUUUUGUUCCAGACGUCAUUGUGCUUAUGUGGGUUUCUUCCCAACGACUGGGGAUAUUUGUCCUCAACCAGAUGCUUAGGUUCAGAACGGUAAGACUUCAAAAAUUCCUUGUGGCCAUGUUGCGUGUUCCGUUGUCUCUUCUCCUCCCGCUUCUCAUCCCUCCAUGCAGGUGGAGAGUGGUGAGGACGUGGACUACGUUCCUGUGGAGGCGAUCUCGGUCUUUUGAGAUUCCUGUCUUUGGUAUCUCUUUCUAACUAGCCCCGUGGGAUAUCUAACUCGUUGUUGAUGUUGUACUCAAGCCGUUGUUGUCUCCUAUCUUCACGCUCUUGUUCUGACAGUAGAGGACAAGAGUUCUCAUCAUGAGAGAUGUGCUUGCACUUGAAGCAGAAGCGAUGUAGGCCAUCAUAAGCUAGGGUAACACGUCCAAUAUCUCCAUUAGGAAAAUCCACCCUCCUCUCAAACUGAAUAGGAUUGUCCACAUUAAUGGAAACUUGUAUCUUUGCUCUUUUAGAGUCUAGAGCCAUCUUUGUCCCCAGCGCUUUUGCAAUCUCUGAGAACGUACCAUCAUUCCAAAAGUGUACUGGAACUCCCGUGAUCCCUAUCCAGAAAGGGAUGGAAUUUGGAAAGUCUUCCUUCGUAAAGGGUUCCCACCUCUCCAAAGCAAAACUCUAUUGGUUGAAAUGGCAUGGUCUCUUAUUCAACACUGCUUGAAGGUCUUCCUCCUUGUCAAAAUCAAAUUGGAACCGUCCAUUCCCAAGGUUCGUACCGCGAACCCUUCCUUCGACGUUCCAAAUUAUUGGCUUGGGGAGCAAGUUGAUCAGUGCAUCGAUGCUCCUGCUCUUUAGCUGAAACACUUUGCCAAUAAGGGUAAGUUUGAAAUGCUCUGCUGCUUCCUUAAGGUCACAUUCCGGUAGCUUGAUAAUGUCAUCUUCCUCGAUGGCAAGGCGUCUCAUUGCCUGAGACGAGCUGGCUCCAUAUCUGCAGUGAUCCUGUGGAGGACCUGAGUCUUUUCGGUUGGCCAUUAACACUGUUGUACUUAGCAAUCGCUAGAUAGAUCUUAGAUCUGAGUAUCGAGGCAGAUCCACAGAAGACUUAGCAAAAGCUAGAAAGUAUGGGAAAUAAAACCAAAACUAUGGAAGGGAGACGUGACUGGUACGUAAGGUUAUGAGCCUCGCUACGGUCUCCGGUACACACCACUACACGCAAAGGCAGAGAUCACCUUGUGUGUCAGUAUCAGGGUCCAAAGAAAACAGUGAGAGUCACCGUUGGUCGCCGUUGGUCAUUGAAAUCCUAGAUCUGAAAAUCUCCCUUGCAGUCGCCUAAAAACCCUAGCCGCGCUCCCUCCAUAUUUAUAUUUAGUAUUCUAAUACCAAAUAUCUCGUAUUGGAUUAUGAAGAAUUAUGUCUUGUCUGUUGUGUUUCAUAUUGUUAAUCAAAACCUCUGAGUCACCUUCAAAUAUAACAUUUAGAAAACCACAACUCCAUGUUGAUUGCAUUGCGAAGAGGAGAGCCAAUGCCUCUAGUGCGGAACGUCACGAUCUAUCUUCAAUGUCACAUCUGCUCUUCGAAGGCGGUGGAGGGUCGACUAUAAAAAGGUUAGCAUCCCUACAAUCUAAACCAUCAUAUCAAUCUAUUAGAACGAAACAAUCUACUUAUUUACAGAGAAAAUGGCUAACUCUUGACUUUUUCUUUUCGAUUUGAAGUCCGGUAGAUGUUCUUUCACGGCGGUUGAGGUUAGGUUAUUGUGUUUCUGGGAGGCGAGGAAUAUCAGGCGCGGUGAUGAACUGAUGUCUGCUCCUGCUUGAUUCAAAGGUGAGUUCCGUUUAAGAAUUUCCGAAAGUCUCUACUUUGCUUUUUCCCGAUCUGUAAGAAUUUGCAUUGAGCAUUUAUUUUUUGUUUAUUGGUUAUGUCUAGGGGUGUUCAAUCCGGAUAUCGGUUCGGUUUCGGUUCAGUUUUUUUGGUUUUUCGGUAUUUCGUUUAGUAAAAUAUAACUACCAUUCUAAAUCCAUAUUUACUUCGGUUCGGUUCGGUUUAUAUACCGUCGGUUUUCGGUUUAUUCGGUUUUAUACCAAAAACAUAAUUCUUUAUUUUGGAAUCAUAUUAUAUGAAUUUUAGAGUCUUGUUGUCAACACAUUCAUUUAUUAAAAAAUAUUAUAAGUUUAAAUAAAAGAACAAAAAUAAAAAAUGUUUCUAUCAUCUAAUAAAAUAAUCAAAUCUAUAAUUAAAAUCAAAGCUCAAAAUUUUGAUAAUAAAAAUAAAAUACAAAAAAUAAAAUAGAAGCACGAAGCACAAAAAAUAAAUAAUAUUCUUUCAUAUUUAGCGUUCAUCAAAGUCAUGUUUCUUCUAUUAAACACGAAACUCUAUUCGUUUAUAGAUAAAAAAAAUUGUGAAGAAUUUCCACUAAUUGUUAUCAUCAAAUUUAUAAUCUUUAUUUCAAUUUAGUCAAUGCUAAAUUAAAACAAAAAGAUCAAAAGAAGACUAAGAAAAUAAGAAGCAUGUUUGCGAUGAAUUGUUAUUUAAUUAUAGUUCAAGUGUUUUACAAAUCAACACUAUUUUAUUACUGUAAAAAAUAUGGUAAUAGUUAUUAGCAAAAAAAUUAACUUAUGAUUUUCAUACAUUGUUAUAAAAUAUAUACAUAUUUACAUGUUUCUAUUUUUUGAUUGGUUUUAUUCAGUUUAUUCGGUUUUAUCGGUUAUAUACCGAACCAUAUCCAAAUCCUACGGUUUUUUAAAAAUCAUAUUCAUUCGGUUUGUAUGGUAUAUACCAAAUCCAAACCAUAUUAUCUAUUUCAGUUCGGUUCGGUUCGGUACGGUUCGGUACGGUUCGGUUUUGCCAUAUUGAACAGUCCUAGUUAUGACAACGCCCAUUUACGUUUCAGGCGGCUCUUAUGCCAGCCACCGUUGCAGCUAGCUGGGUUCCAACCUUUGGUCCCCAUCUCAUGGCGGGGUCGAUGUAUUCUUAACCGGUUUUGAAGUGGCUCGGUGUAAUCCAAACUUCAGGCUAACGGACUCUUCUUUGUUGAUCCGGUUCAGUGAUGCAACCUCCUUAAAGGUGUUGACUGAACCGAGUUUUCCGCUGCCUGAAGAAUGUUUCCGAUUUCGUAGUCGGAGUGAAAUGCUUGCUCUAGCAAACACCAGCUCUCAACUCUCGGGUAAUCCUCCCUUUAAAUUGUAAUCAUACUAACCGGAAAUUGAUUCCUAAUAUUCAUUCUUACAUAGACAACAUUGGGGAGAUCACGGCGGUUAAGAGUUCCGUCAGUGACCCUCCGGGAGACAAAAAUCACUCUGACGGCGACGCACAGACUCAGCCUUCACAUGUUUGCACUGCGACAAUACAUAUGCGGUUGGUGCUCUCCUGUAUGUAACACACUGUAUUAUAUAGAUUAUGUUUCACCAUCACACGGAUACUUAACGGACUUUAUCAACUUCCCUGCAUCCGUUGAUAAUGUGAGUGUUACUAUUGUUUUGCCAUGGCGCUUUCAUGUACUAUAAAUUAAUAAAGAUUAUUGGACAUGAUCAGGGAGACAACGUGAAAAAGGGGGACGACAUACCAGUUGACAACACGGUUCCUGCNNNNNNNNNNNNNNNNNNNNNNNNNNNNNNNNNNNNNNNNNNNNNNNNNNNNNNNNNNNNNNNNNNNNNNNNNNNNNNNNNNNGAGGUUGAAGCCGGGGGUAGCAGUCAGCAGGCAGCACCGGAUGCAACAGCAGUCCCAAAUGGUAAAGAACCACAGGAGCCUUCAGCCAAAGCAGCUCGCUUUAUGAUUUGGCAACAGAGUUACUUUAUCUCAAAAAAUGCUUUUGCAUCAAUGUUGGUUUUUUUUUAAAUUAAGGAUGUUGUGUCUGCUCCUGGUUUUUAACUUCCUGAACAAUCUUUAUUUUCUGAAAUUCCUAUAAAAUUUAUGUUUGGUGCAAAGGUUUGUAGGAUUAGUUUGAGUUUAUGCAAACCAUUAAUGUUUUCCUCAAAGGUAUUAUCCAUUAGCAAGAAAACAUUAACAGCCACUUCGGCCAUUUUAUAAUAGCAAUAUCAGGCAUCAAACAUUGUUAGGUCCGGCUCAGUCAUUAGAUAGGCCAAGGCCUAACUGUAUGUAAAUCGUAAGUCAUUUUAAUAACCAUGAAAACAAUGGGUCACAAGGUCUGAAUGCUGCUGAGAAAAACACUCAUUAUGAAAAUAUUAUCCACACAAGUUCUUAAUACAUUAGCCUAACAAUGCAUAAAAUUCGUGUAAGGUAAAUAUUUGUUUUUACUAUCACGAGUGCGCAAAAUAUUUUCAGUAAUAAACCUGUAAAUACCUUAAUUCUGACUCUUAAUUUACGUCCGUAUUUUCCAAAAUAAUUAUGUAAAUAUUUUUCAAAAAACAAAUUGCUGAAUGAUGUGGUAUUUUAAGAGGGCGAUAAUAAUACCUAAUAAGAAUGAUGGGCCGACGAAAGAUGGCAAUCCUUAACUAAGAAAGCAUAAUUAUUCGCACACCAAAAAGUCAUUAUAUAGGUUAAAACAUAAGUAAACUUAUCUGAUUAUUUCACAAUAUAAAGCCGGUACUGACCUCAACACCAUAUAACCACCAAUCAGCUGGCGAUUAGAUAUAACAAAGUCAAAAACUGAUGACAAAAAGUGACAAAAAAACUUAGUCAAACUUGAUAAAUACAAAACUCCGGAUAUUAUGAGUGAACUAUUUUUUUUAGAAAAUAUGAGAGUUAUGUGGAUGAUAAAGUUCUUUUGUCACUAAAUACAGCAAUAGAUAUAACACAGUAAUAAUUUAACCAUGCCUAAAGUUUUUUAAAAAGGAAAUUAACGGCAAGGAUAGUAGGGUAAAAAAAACCCUAACCAGUCACUUCAUAUUAAACUUUAUUCCCAUUAGCAGGCCUAUUCGACAACAUUUACGAUUACGUACACUCGCAUCUGUUAAAACAGAAUAUUUCUUCAUAAACACACCAGUCAUCAUCCAAUUUAUUUAGCUUCCUAAAUCCCUGAAACAUUUAUGUACUCUGAAUUUUCUUUACAGCAAUCGCGUGUUUAUCAUUCAGGUUCACUUGAUAUACUAUGUCCCUCCUGGUGAUGGUUUCCAAUUAAAAAAAAAGAAGGAAAUGUUUAUGUAUAGAUAUACUACCAAAAAAGAUAUGGUAAUCCAAAACCCAGCAUCGUCGAAAUAUGAAAUAUUUGGAAGAAAUAACUUUCAAAAGAUUAAAAAGAAAACAAAAACAAUGGCAACUAAGACUGAUUCUUCACAUCUUCGUCGUAACUUCGCGUCCACAGCUAUUUCAGAUUACAAUAGCUUAAACAUUCAACCGUACAGUGAAGACACAUUCAAGCUUCACCUUCGUACGCUAUGUAUUAGUCGAACAGAAUAAUAUUAGUACAAAAUACAAAUAAUUUUGUACAAAACAAAAUUUUUAUUUACCUACCAUAAUAUAUUUGCGUAACCGGUUCAUUGUAUAUAUAUUUAAAGUAUAUUUAAAUUCAUAUGAAACUAAAAUUUAAUUUAAAAUUGUAGAAAACAACAUAACCUCCAUUAGUACACUUUAAUAUAGACUCAAUUUUUUGUAAAAUGAAACAACAUGAAAACUAUUUAAAGUGCUCACAAUAUAUCAAUACCACAACUUUAUAACAUAGAGACAACUAUUUUUUUUGUACAACAUAAACAAGUAUUGUAAACAAGAAAAAUAGAUCUUAUUAUAUACAAUUUCUCCUGACCUAAAAUAUUCUAAAAGACAAAAAAAAUCAUUAUCAUGCACAUUUCUUGCAAAUGAAAUCCUGAAACACAAACCAAAAAGUUAUACAAAAAAUAAUAAUCUAGAUCACAAGUAAAGUAUAUCCCGCCCGUAGGGCGGACCGAUCCUAGUUUUAUAUAUUUGCAUUAGUUAUACCCAUGGAUUAUUUUACAUCACUUAAUUAAGGGAGCUGUUAGUGGGAAUUGAAUUUAUAAUGAGUCUUAGAAUUUUGAAGUAUAGUAUUAUUGGUUUAUAGAUUCUCACAUUCUCAUUAAAAUCUAGUGUUAUUAGUUUGAUGAUUCUAUAAUUUUAUACAAAAUCAUUUGUUAUUCAAAAUGUUUAGAUUUUAAUGAUUCUACAAAUCUAUUAAAGUAAGUGUUAUUGACAGUUGAAUUCUUACCAUUUUAAUUCACAAAACAAGAUUUUGAGAAUACUACAUGUUUUCAAAUUUAACAAAUAUCUCAACUUUUAAAAUUAACAAACUCUAUAAAAAUCUCAGUCCCACUAACACCCUCUAAAUGACUCUGAAAGUGGCGAUGCAAAUAAUUUGUAUCGUUUCUUCAAAAACUGAUGUAAAAACUGAAGUAAAUAAUUUGUAUCAUUUCUUCAAAAACUGAUGUAAAUAUUUACAUCAGCUAUUACAAGUGAUGUAAAUAUGUAUCAAUCUAUAUUAUUAAAAGAGAAGUACCCAUUUGAAAAUGUUCUUACUUCAUUAAUUAAACUCCCUAUUUUUUUGCUUGUCAUUUUCAGUUGCAUUUAUGAAAUAUCCUAAAACGAAUAAAAAUGCCUAAUUUAUUACUUGUCUUUUCAGUUAUAUUAAUGAAAUAUGCUUAAAUAAAUUUAAAAUUCAUAUUUUAUUGUUUGUCUUUUUCAGUUACCUUAAUGAAAUAUCAUUAAAUAAAUUUGGACAUAAUGUCAUUUAAUCAACAAAAAAACUCAUGAGUUAUCCUUACGUGCAUAAUUUUAAUAAUGGAGAUUUUAAAAAACGUGCAUCAUUAAAAUGUUACCUAAAACAUACAACACUAAUAUAUAACAUGCAUCAAUAAAACUAGAAUUUGACUCACACAAUUGUACGGAUAUUAUUUUCAGCUGAUUAAAUUAAAAAAUGUUUAUUUAUUCAAAAAAUAUUUAAGAAUGGCUAUGUUUUUAAAAAUUAUAUGGUAUUAUUUGCUCAUACCUCAUUUGUCAUUUGCUAAAUUGUUAGAAAUAAAAUUUUAGCAUAAUAUAUCUCAGUUGUCAUUUGCUAAAUUUGUGGUUUUUAUUUAUAUUUUUAUUAUUUAAUUAUAAUAUUUUCAUUUUAUAUUUGAAAGAGAAAUAAAUUUUCUUUCAAACAAUAUUUUGUAAAUGUAUUUUUUUUUAAAUAAUCAAUUUAAAUUGUUAUUAUCAUUGAAUAUAAUUAUUUUUGACAUAAUUUGAGUUUUCGUUUACAUCAAAACUUAUCAUAUUUUAGGAUAAUUUUAAUUUAAAAUGUGAUUUUUCAUAUUUUUCAAACAAAUUCUAAAAAUAUUUUUUAAAUAUUUUGUUAUCAUUUUUUAAAAAAAAUAUUGAGUUGCAUUUCAAAAAAAAGGGUAAAGAUAUUAAAAAUAUUCUAAUUAAAAUAUGUAAAAUUUAAUAUAGUUUUAAGGAAAUGGUCAAAAUAAAAAAAAAAUUACACAUAAAAAAAUCAUGAUUUUUGUUAGCUGGCCGGAUCAUUAUUUAUAUGAUAUCACAAUCGAAAGAAAAAUUUAUGUUUUUACAAUUAUCUAAUUAACUAUGUAUACUCAUUUUUUUAUAUUUUUUUAUAUGAUAUCACACAUUCGUAAAAAAUAGAUAGUUUAAGAUGCAAAAAAAAAUAUUUACUUAAUGAAUAUAAUAUGAAUGAAUUUUACAAAUACAUCAUUUAAUAAAAUAAAUAAUUAAAAACUAAAAAUUCAUAUCCAUGAGGAUCUAGUUGCAUUUAAAUCGAAAGUUGUAUCAUAAUUGCAUCACAGCAUUUCACCUGGGGAACGACCCCAAUUAGUAGUACAUACUUGAGCGUUUCGGACUUAUUUAUUUGGCUGAUCCGAAGAAACACUAGCAGGCCAUUCUUCGACGCCUCGAAGUGCAUACUCGACAUAUGUAUGUAUAGAUAUUUUUGUUGAAGAAAUAUGAUAGGAAAAUUCUAAUUUUGGCAUAACAUUCAAAUCCCAGAUCUUUGCAGUAACUACCGGAUCACCAUAUGGUAUAGUUGGUGCACUGAUACGGAAUUCAAAGUAUUAUAAAGAGUUUACUGAUAAGUUGCCAUUCUUGUUUGGCAAGAAAUGCAUCUUUAAGUUUUCCAAAAUCUUUGAAACCGAUACCACAUUCGUACAGGUUGCCAGUUCACCAGCUCGUCCAGCUCAUUACACUUUUUCCUUAGCUUGGUUCAGCUCCUUUUCUUUAUUUUCCUUCUUUUUCUUAGCUAAGUCCGGAUCAUCACUCGGACUUAGCCCUUUGUUCAGACCAUGGAACACUUGCCUUUGAGUCUUUCGACCGUCUUGUACGUUCCCUCGUCCCAUGGUCAGUCCCAACGAUCUUAUCUAGGAUCGGGGAUGCUACAAAGACAAUCAUCAGUAAAGAACAAAUGAGUGAUGGCAGGAACUCAGUUACCAAUUUUAAUACUGUUUAAAUUUUUCUGCCACACUUUACUAUUGAUUAAAUGCUUAAGAUAUCAGCACAGGGAAUAUAAAUAUAUAGAUAUGGGGCUAGAGGACCGCUUUGUCGUAAACCUGUAUUUAGAUUAAUCUGUCCUUGUGUGAUUCCAUUAAUUAAAACUGAAUAUUAGACAGUGGAGACCAUAGUCAUUACCCAACUUGUCCAAAGUUCUAAGAGUCCAAAAGCACGCAUUGUGUUUUCCAGGAAAGUCCACUCAAUUCGACCAUAAGCUUUUGAUAUAUAUGUUUAAUCGCCAUAUAUGUUUGUGAAACUCAUUUUCCAGAUUUUAAGGACUUCAUAAGUUCAUAAGCGGUUAAGACAUUAUCUGUAAUAUAUCUUUCCAAGAAUAAAAGUGGCCUAAGAUGUGGAACAAUACUAUCCAAAGAAGAUUUCAGGCAGGUGAGUAGAAUUUUGCUGAUGAUUUUGUAAAAUACAUUACAAUAAGUAAUGGGUCGAUAUUCAGUUAGGGUUUUGGGAUGGUGUACUUUUGGUAUCGUACAAAUAUUUCUGAAUUUAGAUUCAGUUAGUAGAAUACCAGUAUUGAAAUUUUUUUGAACCUCAUCCACCACUGCCUCUCCAACAAUGUCCAUCAUUUCUGAUAAAAUCUUGCCGCUAAACCAUCAAGCCCUGGUGCUUUAUCCGCAUCACUAUGGCAUACUGACACAUAUAUUUCUUCAUAAAUCACUUCCUUAGUAAAUUUUUCCCUUAAUUUCCAAAGUCACCUUUGGUCUGAAAUCUUUAAAAAUAUCUGGUAUUGGUGUGCUUUUGUUGCUACGAUACACUUCCUUAAACAACUCAUCUGAAUGCAUACCAACCACUACAUCUACAUCAUGAAAAACCCCAUUAGCGUCCAUGAUAAAAAAAAAUCAUAUUCCUAACAUACCGAUCUUUGGUAGUACAAAUGAUAAAAAUGCGUAUUACGAUCCCCACAGCAAAGCCAAUUAUUCCUACUUUAAAACCAAAAUGUUUCAUCAUCACGAUAUGCUUGUGCUAGAUCUUAUUGGGCCAUUUGUACUUGUAGCUAAAUCCAGUUCAUAUUAAACACUUCUAUCUGAUGAGCCGCAUUAAGUUUACUAGCGUCAUUGCCCCCGCGCAAGUGCGGAGGUCGUGGACAGAGUUUUUGUUUCAUCUCAAUAUUUGCUAGGGUUAUUGUAGUUGUGAAUUUUGCGUUUUGAGUUAUUUUUCAGUUUUUUUUAUUGUUAUAUGGUUAGAGUUGUGACGAUGAAUUGUGUAUGCAUUGUUCUCCACUUAUGAAGUACUAAACUGUGUUAGUAAUGUGAUUGAUAUAGUUCGUGGUGUUGUUUGCCGUGUCACUGAGACUUAUUGUUUGUUUGUCUUUUUAAUUUGUUUCUUGUACUAUUAAGAGUACAUAAAUUAUAUUAAAGUUGUUGAGAGUACCUUUUGUUUCUGGAUAUUUUUUCUCCAGUUUAGUUGUGUAAGUUUUGUGUAUUAAGUAAUAAUUUUUAUUAUUCUUAUUAUAUUUGUUAUAUGUUUCUUUUUUAUUCUUAAACUUGUUACUCUUACCGGACCUUUACGACAAAUACAUAAAGACUUGUAUAAAUAACAAUAAAAUGAGUGACAGUUCUGAGUAUUUGAGCCUUAAUAGGUUUUAAACGAAUUUAUGUAUUUCUCAUAAGAAGACAAUAACAUUGACCUGUUGACAUUGAACAUGUAAGCUGUUUUUAUAAGACAAGAGGAGUGAGCAGGUGGAGAUGUUGUUGCCGUCUUUGUGUCUGUCGGGAUUUUAUCUUGUAUCUUCUGGUUUGGUUGUGUUUGUUUCUCUUUUAUUUGAUGGGUAAUAUGUAAACAAAAAUAAUUGUUAGUUAUAUUUAUCAGAGUUCGUAAUUUACUCUGCUUUUUUGUUUUGGUAAUUUCAUUGAUCUUGGUUGUCGUCUUCGUCUUCUUCUUUGCGAAAGUAAGUUUGUAAAUUGUUAAAUAGUUGGCCGUGUAGUUUGUAUUUGUUUAGCUGACUCGAUGUAUGUGUCGUUGAGUUUUAGUUGAGGUGAUUGAUUUGGUAUAUUUUUUUGAAGUUUAUUUCUAAGAUUAGACAAAAAAAAGAGGUGAUCAUUAAUGAUUUGUCUUUUUUGGAAUUCUAGUUUUUGGUGUUUUGAUUGUUUGGGAUGUUGUGGUUUCUUUUAAGCUAUAAAAUAAAGGUUGGUGUAAAAUUAGUUUGAUAAGUAAGGGAGAUAAAUAGACGACCACAUAUUUUGGGUAGGAAAUAUUUUUGAUUAUGAUGUUAGCACAAUAUAGAUAAUAAUAUAAAGAGAAUUGUGUGUUGAUUGUUUCUUACGGAUCAAUGAGGAGAUGGAUAACGACUCGGAUUGUUUCUUUGGUAAGGUCAGAGCCCUGGACAGAACGGAUUUGUCCAACCACAUUUGCGAGUUUAAAUAUCUAUUAUGAUAUCGAAACAUAAUAUAAACUCAGAUGCAAUAUGAUAAUAUACAUGGGAGUUCUAGGUUUGUGUUCGCAAUCACUUGAAAAUUGUCGAAUAAUCUAAUUAUGCCUGGAGAUUGAUCUUAGGAGCAUCUGUGAUGACUUCAUCAAUAAUAGUUGGUGAGAUGAAACGAAUGAGGAAUGAAUGAUCAGUUAUCUUGUACAUGCUUGUGCACCUAUCAACCUCAAAACGACCGACUUACACAAUGGAACCGGCUUUCAAAGAUGGCAUGUAAUGAUUAGCACGUCCGGCGGAAAUAAACUUAUGAAUCACAGAAUCUGCUAAUAAUAUUAUUCAACAAAGAAUCAGGAAAUCAAUUAAAAACAAUCUAUAUUAUUUUCCUUCCCUAGGCCCGGCCCACAGAGAAAGCCGAAGAAGCAAGAGUUUCCGACCUUCAUAAAUAUAUAUUAGUUUCGGCCAUCAAUGUACAAAGCAUUUUUUAGUUUAGUAGUAUAAAUGUUGGUGUUUAUAUCUCAAUAACUCGGGUUCGAGCCAUGGACUUGACACUUUUUUACAGUUUUUAAAAGUUAGACCCACAAAAUACUGACAUGACGCGCUGAGGAGAGAGCAAAAACUUAAUCAUUAUAAUAUAGAUUUUUCUUACGACAAUAGGACAUGUACUUUCUACAUUCCUUUAUACAACCUUAAAAACAGUCCAAUCCUGACCGUGUGCCAUAUCAUCCUUUCCAAACAUAUAUUUUUAAAGUCUGUGACAUCUAAUAGUAGUUUGUCAAAGUGAAAUGUUUUUUAUGACUUUGAUUGGCACACGAUAUUGUUGCUAUAACUAGGCAGGACCGUCUCAAAUUAUUUACGGACCCUGUUAAAAAAAUAUUAAUUAAAUAUUUAACGAUGUGAUGGAGUAGUUUAAAAAAAAUAGCUUUAUUUAUAUAUAUUUGACGUUUUUGAAAUUAUAAACUCUAAAUUUAGUAUAUAUCUAAAAGGUUAAAGUUUUAUAUCAUAACUUAUAUAUUUAUUUACAAAAAUUCUUAAAUUUUCUUUUAUUUUUACUCGGACCCUGUUCAACUGCUCCACUUUCACGUGCUGUUAGACGGCCCUGUAACUAGGCGAUAGUCUGAUCCACAUGAACUGCAAAACUUUGGCUAUUCUUCAUAAAAUAUAGCUCUCUAAUCAGAAAAUAUAAAUGUUUUUUUUUGUUAUAUUCGGUUUGUUUUUCAAAAAGUUCUUAUAAAUAUUGGAUUUUGUUGUUGAUACGUUAUUUAUUUUAUUUUUUAAAAUAAAUAAUGUGUCAACAACAAUAUCCAAUAUUUAUAAGAACUUUUUGAAAAACAAACAUAAUAUAACAAAAAAAAAAAUCUAGCAUUUAUAAUAUAUUAAAAAAAAUACUAGUUACAAAUUAUAAACUUAACUCCCAAACCCUAUAUCCAAACACAAUAUUGAAAUUCCAAAACCUAAAUCUUUAAGUUCACUCAUUAUGCUUUACCUAUUUUCAUCACAAGUAUCACUAAUAAUUUUAGUAAAUAGUAUUUUGUAUUCCUUGCAAACUAAUUUUUACCUUAUUUAAUUAUAAAAUUUAACAUAUCUAUAAAUUAGAAACUAACCAUAUACUCUCUCUGUAUCAAUUUAGUUGGUGUUUAAAGUUUUUACACAAAGAUUAAAAAAGUACAAAAUUUUAUGUAAUUUAUCUUGGUUACAUAAAAAUAACAUUAAAUAAAAUUAGUUUAACCAAUAAAAAAAAAUACAAUAUUUUAUAAUUGGUCACAAUUUUUUAAUGACAUUAAAUUUUAUCUAUAAUAACGAGAACAUCACAUAAUAUGAAACAAAAUUAAUUAAAAUCCCUAAACACCACUUGUGAUACGGAGAAAAUAUUAUUUUCCCGACUAAACCAGUUGCCAGGCCCGUCUCUUAAUCUACAGCCACAUGAUUUUAGCUUUAAAAUUUUCAUAAACCUAAUCUUGUUUCUUCCACAUGAUUUCUUCGCAGACCACAUCACAGAUUUUCUCUCUUCCUCUCAGUCAACUAUUUAUUUCUAUUGUUCUAUAACUCUCUAACUCGAUUUUCUCUUCUAACUUUUUGUCAAGUAAGAUCUCUCUUCACGAAAAUGCUCAAUCUUCCUUUGCAUCUUCCAGUCUCAUCUAAGUCAAUUUGGGUUUAGGUGUAUACUUAGAUUAAAACACAAUCCCCUAAGCUAUUUGUGGAUUGAUUGUUUAAUAGGAAUCGCUUUUUGAGUGCUUGUUUCGGUGCUCUUGAAGCUCUGCCAAGUGCUUGUGAAAAUUCCUGCCUUUCGUAUGUCACAAUCUUGCGAGAAUCUUUACGCAUACCUUCUGAAGGCAUCAAACUCAUCUUACUUCAGGAGCAACGAGGCCAGUUACUUCCGCCUCUUCUCUACAUCCACUUCCUAGCUUAGCGGCAGUGACGAGUGCACCAGAGAAACGUAACAUGCCCUUUCUCCAUCCACGAAGACUCAAUAGAGGUUUAUGGUCAGUUCAGUGUUUGAGUGUUUAGGUGGAUCAAAUGUUUAUAUAUUCAUCUCCCCCAAGAAAUUAUUCCAUAUACUCUUCCCUAUUUUCUAUUUUCAUUAAUCUUUAUUUAAAUCCUAAAAUGAGUAAAUGACAACAAAACCAGUCAAAACAUAAAUAAUUACAACCCAACCAGCCGGAUUAUCCAAUCCAAUUCAAUAUCCAUCGGGUCAACCCACUCAUUCUCUCCAAAAUCUCCCAAAAUCGACCAAGUGUUGUAGUUUUUACCCAUUCUUCUCCUUUUUUAUUUCUUUACUGAAACAAAUUAUUCCUCUCAAUUCCACCGAUCUCCUUUCAUCCUUUCAUCACUGGAGAGGAGCCGUGUCUUUCUCAAGCGUAAUACGAAACGAGUCAAAUCUUUAUCCAGAAAAAGAUAAUGAAGUAACGAACCAUGAAUUACCCAUUGAAAGAGGAGAAUAUACAAACCUAGAAUGGUAAAACCUAGUAAAACUUGGUGCAAUUGUAAAACCUUGUGCAACUUAGUAAAAAGAUUUGGAUUGUAUAACUUAAUAAUACUUUGUGCAAUGAUGACUUAAGUUUGAUAUACUUGUUACAUUUUUCUAUGGAGUGCAGCAUUCGGUGGUGGUGAAGGUAGAAAAACAAGGAUAUUGGGAAUGAGCAAAGAAAGAAAACAAUGAAAAAUAACAAAUCAAUCACUGUCAACAAAUACAAGAAGAAAAUGAAAGUAGAAGCAAACGAAGAUCGUUUUAUAAAAAAGGUUCAAAAUAAGUUCCAUUGUGACAAGAGGCAAGAAGGAUGGUUAAACUAUGUAUCUCAAAUUCAUUGUAAUUAUUUUAUUAUAUUUUCUGUAAAUGGAAAACAUUUUGAAAGUCUCAUUUUCUUUUGUUAAACUUGGUAAAAAUCGGUAUUCAUGUUAUUUUUGUUUGUCAAACUUUGUGAAGAUUGGUAUUAUUUUGUUAUCUAUGUUUGUUUAACUUGGUAUUACUUUGUCAAAGUUUUCCAUUUUGUUUGGAACUUGGUAUUACUUAGGCAUUUUUGUUUGUGGAACUAAGACUUUGAAUUGCACCAGGACAGAAGCAGGAGAGAUGCAGAGGAAAAGUAAUUACAGAAUGAACUGCAUUUAUCACUCAUUCAAUAGUUAAAAUGCAGAACUUGUCACACACAUUUUGGAUGUUAUUUUAUUGCCAUACCCUUUGUCUACACUUAACUUGUCAAAACUAAAAGCAAACUAAGAAAAACACAUAGUCAGCUAAAGAUUCCGCUGUUUCCAUUUUAAUAAAGACAAUAACCAAUCCAACCCAAACCACUCUUCCCCCUUUCAUCUUCGCUGCAAUAAAAUCAAAAGCCCUAGUUUCUCAUAAACUCCACUACUCUCUCAUUUUUCUCAAUCGGUGGGAGAAAAUCAUCCCUAAUUAAGACCUCAUUCCAAUUUCAAGCACCGACCAUUAUCUCCAAUCUGAUUCCGGUGGAAGAACCUCAAAGUAACCUGAUUCAGGUAUUGGUCAAGAACCUCUCUCCUCACUAUAUGUUGGAUGGAGAGAUCAUCUUCAUCUUCGUUACCCUCCCGUCAAUGAUGUCUUGCGGCAAGUUGAGAGGAGGUUACGUCAUCUUCAUCUUCUUCACCCUCCCUAAGCGAGAGUUUCGUCGGCGCCUCUCCUGCCGGACCUCCACCGAUGACGGCGACGCGGAUGUUACAGUUAACAAGCUUGGGACUGGCUCUGGAUGUGGUUACUUUGAGAGAUCUUCAUAAUUGGAGUCAAGAGUCCCCGACGUGGAAGGUCAGUAUCUCCGUAAGCAUGUUUAAAGUUCUUAACUUUCAAUAAUCAUCGAUUCAAAAAAGUUUCUUUUACAAUUAAUGAUUAAAAAGUUCUUCUCAAGCUUUUAAAGUUGAAGCUUUCUUUUAUGCUUAGAUUUCAAAUAUUACUGGAUUCUUAAGCUAUCUAUAGUUCACAAUUUUAAUUUUCUUUUAUGAGUAGAUUAUAAAUAAUACACCAUUUCCAAAGUUCAUUCUUAAGCUAAACUCAGGGAGAAACUUGAAAAGAAGAUAAAGAUAACAACAAGAACAAAAGCGAUGAAGACAAGAACAUCAAAAUAAUACAAAGGAGAAGAAACCCAAAGCGGUAAAGCUUUAACUUUACUAGACUUCUUUCUUUGUUUGUAUUAUAAGAAGGCCAAGAAUCUGAUAAUGAGUCUGUGUUAGGCUCCGAUAACAAUGGUAGUAUUGAAACUUGUGUUGACUAUUAAUGUUUAGGUGUUGGUAAAACUACAACGAGUACAAAGCAUGCUUAUUAUCAUCAGAAGAAAGACUACAAACCAGCUCUAGUAUGUGUGGAUACUCUCAGGGCUGGUGUGAUCCAUCAACUGAAACAGAUUGCUACCAAGGCGGUGUGUGGAUAGCUGGUACGUGGAUGGGUUCUGUGUGGACGGUUGAUGUGGGGAUGGGUGAUAUGUGGAUGGGGCGUCGUGGUAUUGCUCAGUGUGGACAAGAUCUCCGAGGACUAGUGGGUGCAGGUGAGCCGUCCAUAACCAAUUGACCGAUUAAUAACAUUGCAGUUGAUGUUACAACAGUGGGAGCUAUGUCAUAGUUAUAAAUCUGCAUACAAAGACCUCUUUUGGUGUCCUAUAUGUAACAUUUUUUGUUUCCUCUUUUGAGUUUACAGUAUAGAUUGUUAUUUUGUAGUUGCAUAUCACUCCAAUCUAUUAUGCAACUUGCACUACAAGAAAACAUUUAAUUACCGACUGCAAAAAUAGUCACAAAUCAGUCGUAAAACAUGUGUUUGCGCCUAUUUUGCGACUGAAUCGCAUAGUCGGAAUACCACGCGUCGCUAAAACAAUUAGUCGUUAAUCGGUUGCUAUUUUGCGACUGACUAGCGACUAAUUUAAGAUUACUGUUUUUAGUCGCAAAACAGUCACAAUUCAGUCGCAAAAUAUUACGACUGAUAUGCAACUAACUGCUAUUUCGUUUACGACUACUCCACGGCUGCUCUUAAGUUGUUAUAUGGUCGAUGUCGUAGUCGUUUUUCAGUCACAAAAUCAAUUAAUAUAUUUUUUUUAAAAUAUAUUUUUUCUUAUUAUUUAAUCAAUUAAAAAAUUUUGAUUAAUCAAUUAAAACACAAAAAUAUGGUUUGCAAUUGAAUUGAUUUACAAUUGAAAUCGGUUUACAAUGAACAAAACAGAAAAAUAAUUAAAUCUAACUAAAAAAAAUUAGAUCUAGGGUUCUUCACGCCAUUUACGGUGGGGCUUCUUCACAGCCAUUGACGGCGGGUCUCCGGAGCUUGAACAGAGGAGGCAAGCUUGAACGGUGAAGAGCCUGAGCCCGAGACGAGAAGACAGACGGUGAGCUUGUGAAGAGGUGAGGAGAGGUGGGAAGAGCUUUACCGUAGACAACGGUGGUCGUCGUCGUCUUUAUGUAGCUUACGCCUCCACUGUAUCUCUGUAGCUUCCGUCAUCUCUGUGUAGAUUUCAUUGUCUCUAUGUACCUUCCGUCGUCGUCUAUUAAUAGCUUGAGCAGAAGUGAGGAGAAGGAUUGAGUAUAAGUGAGGUGGAAAUGAACAGCUUGAGCUUGAAGACGAACACCGGCUUCGGUGCAGAAAGAAGAAAGAAAUAAAGAACAGAGGAGAUAGAGCUGAGAUGGAGAGACAGAGAAGAGAGGACGAAAGAGAGGACAAUGAGUUCUAAGUUGAAGAUGAAAGAGGAAGAAGAUUGCUUUACUCGUGGAAAGGAAGAGAUAUAUGAGAGAGAUGUAGACCAUUGGAUUAAGAAUAAUCAAAGGUGAAGAUUAAAAGAUUGGUUAUCCUCGCCAAUUGGUACUCAACCAAUAGAAAAUAAAAGGAUGGAUUGCUUUUUGUUUCAGAAGAAAAGAAACACACAAAAAAAAUAAAUGAAUCUAGACCAUUAGAUUUAAGCAAUUUAAGAUAAUCAACGAUUGAGAUAGUAUCCCUUAAUUAGUGUAUUGACCAAUAUAAAAAGAGAAGAAAUUUUUUUUUAAGAGAAGAGAUUAUUGAUUAUAUUUGUGUAGGGUUUGAAGUUUUGGAGUUUUGACUUGAAAAAUAUAUUUUUAUAGGUCUUAGUUUUAACUUAAGAUUAAGUGUAUAAAUAGUAGAUACAUUUUGGUUAAUUUUUUUUAAGUUUGUGAUUUUAUGUUUGGAGUUUUGAUUAAAAGUUAUGAUACAGGGUUUGAGGGUUAAAUUUAAAGUUUGGAAUAGUAUAGUUGAAACUAAUAAAAUUUUCUUCUCCAUUUAUAUACAGUUUGUUUAGAAAUUUUCUAAAUUUAAAGUAUUAGAUAUCAAAUUUAACAUUUGUAAAAUAUAUGUUUAAGAUUUGGUGUUCAAAUUUUAAGAUAGAGUUGUUUGGGUUUAGAUUUGGGUAUAAGGUAAAUUAUAAAAAAAAAAAGCCUAAGAUUAAUUUAUAGUAUUUGGAGUUUAAUUUUAAAUUUAAUGUAUAUAGCAUAUACGAGGUUUAUAUUUUGAUUAUAUCAUUUAAAAAGUAUUUAAAGUUUAAAUUUAAUUUAAAUGAUAAGAUUGAAAAGAUUAGAUUUUAUAAUGUUACAUGCAGGUUUAAAUUUGGGGUUUAGGGUAUAGAUGUUAAGAUAAGAGUUUAGGGUAUAGGUAUGCAGUCGCAAAACAGUCGCUAAUUUUACGACUGUUUUGCGACUACCUAUUGUGAUCGACAUCUAUAGUCGUAAAACAGUCGCAAAAUUAGCGAUUGUUUUGCGACUACGUAUUCUAUACCUUAUGUGGAGUAUAUAGUCGCAAAUCAGUCAUUAUUUUAUGACUGUUUUACGACUACAGUUGCCGACAACAUUAAAUGGUCGCACAACAGUCGCUAAUUACCAACUGAUUUACGACUGAUUUGUUUAGUCGCACAUUAGCGACUGAUUUACGACUAACGUAUUUUAGUCACAAAUCAGUCUCAAAACAGUCGCAAUCCAGUCGCAAUAUUUUGCGACUGCACGAUCAGUCGCAACAUGCAGUCGGUAAAUUCAUGUUUUCUCGUAGUGUUGUGUUCUCGUUUAUUAAAUUUUCUAUUCCACAUUUCUCAUGUCAUCCACAAGUUUCACUCCAAACCACAACCUUCGCCAAACUAGUAGUUUCUAUCCACAAGAAGAUUUUCGUUCCUAUCUUACAGCGAACACAAGUAAUUAAUUCAUCACCCAUCCAUGCAUCAACCGUCCACACAUCGAGUGUCCACAAUUGUCAAGGGCAAAAUUGUCCACAAUCUAUCGCUGGCCCACAACAAAGUGUAUCAUAUGUAAAAAGUGUCUAUAGGUGUAAAAGAAAAUCAAAAAGUGUCUCUUAGCCUUAGUGUAAUCAACUCAGAUAAUUAUGUGCUGCAUGAAGAUUUAUUUUGUGUGUUACUUUUUUUGUCCUCCAUGAAGAGAGGAAAAUGGGCUUGGCAAUAGACAAGUGACCAAUGGGAUGUUUUGCUCUUUUUUUUGUUCCUUUUUUGAAUAUUGCUUUUUUGUUACAUUGUUUUUUAUUCUACAAUAUUUCAUUUUUUUAUUAAAAAUAAGUUGGACACAUGUAUUCAUUCAAUCUUUUAUUAGAUUAAUUUAAGAUAAUUUAAAUAAAAAUUAAUAAUAUAUUUAAUUAUAAAUUGUGUUUGUAAUGAUUGAAAAGUAUGUUUUAUAUCACAUGCAUGUAUUUUUAUAUAACAUUAAUGAAAAUAUUUACAUAUAAAUUAUGUUUGUAGUACUUGAAAGUAUGUAUUAUAAAACAUUCAUUUUUUUUUUGUUUAACUAUUCUUUUUACAUUUCCAGGUUUUAUAAUAGUUUUAUAGAUAUAAAAAUAUAUAAUAAUUUUAUAGAUAUAGAAAUAUAUUUAUAGCUACUUUGUUUUUAUUGUUCGAUUUUUGUUUUUUCGGUUCUAGAGAUAUAUGAACCGUUCGAUUAUUUAUGAAAUUUGGUUUGGGUCUGGUUCGGUUCUUUUCGGUUUCGGGUCGGUAACAACUAUAAGAACCGUCUAAUAUCUGAUAAUUUUUUUGUUCCAAUUCGGUUACAAUUUGGUUCCGCUUUUUGGUUGAUUUUGGAUAUUUCGGGGUAAAAGCAGAAUUUUGGAGGUUUUUUGGAUAUAAAUCGGAUAAUACAGAAAUUUUUUAAUAUUGGAAAAAACUAUUCUAGUAAUUCGAUUUAGGAUAAUUUAGAUAAUUUAAAAUACAUAAGAUGAAAAAAAUAAUCAUUUUUUUGAUUUUUUUUAUAGUUUGGUGUAUAAGUAGUAUGUUUAGAAUAUUUGGUAUUUCUAAUACUAAAUAUAAAUAAUAUUUUUAGGUAUAUAAAUUGUAUUUUAGAUAUUCAGGUACCAUUUGGUUCUCGUUUCGGUUUCACUUUUUCAGCUAAAGAAAUAUAGGAACCAUUCAGUUAAUUUUAAACUUUAGUUUCGGGUUUAUUUUUUCGGUUCGGUUUUCGGUUCUUGAUUUUUUUGCCAAUUCCUAAUUAAUUCUAUAGUUGAACCAAAUGGUAAGAAAAAAAAACGAAAGUCAAAUAAAAAUGCAAAAAAGAAGAGCAAAACAAGAAUACUCUUUAUAAUUUUUGUAAUUGUGAUGAAUUUUCAUAUAAUUUACAAUUUCACUAUAUUUAUUAGAAUGAUGAUAUUUAUUGUUAUUAUUUUCACCAUUAUAUUUAUAACUUAUUUAUAAUAAGUUGUAUUUUUUUAGAUAUUUAAUUCAUUAAAAAAAUCAACAUAUAUUUAAUUACAAUAAUUUAUUAAAUUAGCUUGAUCUACAUUUGUUCUGCAUUAUCUGUAUUUGUUCUGCUUGAUCUGUUUUUUUUUUAUAUGCGUUACCCAUUCGAAACCUAAAUAUUACUUUGUCAAAGUUUGUCAUUUUCAUUUGUCAAACUUCGUAUAACUUGAUAUUACUUUUCAAAGUCUGUUGUUUUCAUUCUAUUACAUUGAGAAAAUUUUCAUUCCAUUACAUUCAUACAAGUUCGAGAAAUUCCCUAGGAUAGCAGUCUUAGUUUAUUUUCACAAAAAUAGCGUUCAUUGAAAAAAAUGACCAAAAUAAGUUUUAUUAAAGGAUAAAAAUACAUUUUUAUCCUAGAGUUAACUAAUCUAGACUUAAGGUUUAGAGUUAAGGGGUGAGAUUUUUGGAAUAGAGUUUCAAAUUUUACAAAAAUAAAACAUAAAUAUUCAAAAUUUCAAAAUAAAAAUAAGCUAUUUUGGUCAUUUUCUUCCUUGAAAGCUAUUUUGUGACAAAAACUUUAAAAAGACUAUUUGAGAGAAUUGCUCUACAAAUUAUGCUCAGUUGUAAAAUCAAAUUCUUUUUUUUUGUCACAGAUUGUACAAUCAAAUUCUUAAACUACCAUAAUAAUAUGAAUAAAACAACCUAUAAAUCCUCCCAACAUGGGAUCCUUCAAUCUUCAUAGUCGUUUUGAGAAGUAUUUGGUUCAGAUUUAGAGAUCUUCUCAAUGAUCUCCUCACCAAACCAAUUAGGUAUUCUCGGAGUUCUAACUCUUGUUUGGCCACCAUAUGCCCCAAUGGUGUGGGAAGAAACUGAAACUUGACUCAUUAGGUGAAGAGAGAUUUAAGAAGAAGAAGAAAAAAUAUGAGAGUAAAGGGGAUAAGGGAUUGAAAAAAUAAAAGAAAUGGCCAAAAUUAUAAAUUAGGGUUUAUAUAGUUUUGGUUGGAUAAGGAAAAUAAUACAACAAAUUUUAACCUCAUUUUGUAAUUUUACUGAAUUCGUCAAAGUUUUACUUUUCUGUUUUUUUUUUUCCUUUUUCUUAGUUAUAAAUAUAAUGUACUCAAAAUACAUGUAUUAUGGUUGUACCAUUGAUUUUCAGUCUUCUUUGAUCAUUUAUCAUCUAAUCAUGUUAUAAUAUAUGUAAUAUCAUCACAUUUCUAACUUUCGUUAUAUGCUAAGGUCAAUAAUAAGAUAAAAAACAUAAAAAUAUAAGGUAGAUCUUAUAUAAUGAACAAUAUUAAGCAAUAUAUAAUGAACAAUAUUAAGAAAUGUGAUGAAAAUUUAAAGUCAGACUUUAAAUCAAGAAAAAUAAUAAAAUUAAAUUAAAUAAGCAAAAAAUCACCGUAAACAAUUAAACAAACAAGUUUUACAAAACUUUUACUAAUGUUGCUAUACUAUUAUCAGUUUUACUAAAUUUUACUAAGCUUACAUAAUCAAACAAGUUUAACUAAAGGAUACGACUCUUAAAACAAUUUAAAAAACAUUUUACAUAAUCAAACAAGUUUGACUAAGUUAUACAACCACUAAAACAUGUUUUAAGUCUUACAAAAACCUUCUUACUUAAACAAACAAGUUUCACUAUAAUUCAUAUCCACUAACGCCGAAUAAGUAAUGUCCUCCGUAGAUGGUGUCUUAUACAAUAUAGCAUAUGACGACUUUCUAUUGGAAUCCAUUCAUUAUCAUCUCUAAUUUUUUAAUAGUAUCCUCCAUAAUCAAAAUGUAUGUUUAUGGAAGGACUAACAUCGUCUCCUUAAAAUAUAAUUUAAUAACAAUCUAAUUAUACAAAGUUAUACAAUUCUAUCAAUCUAGUUAAACCAAGUAAUACAAUUUUACCUAUAUAGUUAUACCAAAUUAUACCAAGUUGUAUCAUUUAAUUGCUACUAAGUUUUACUAGUCAUACCAUUUUAUUAAUACCUAGUUCUAUUAGUUGUUCUUCAUCGCAAUACACUAAUCUGCUACAAUUAAUUGAUCAGGGUUUAGGGUAUAACACGAUAAUCCAAAGAAUAACUUCCAUGAAUUUGAAUAUUAAUUUCACUUUUAUUUCGUCAAUUGAAUCAACUGGGAAACAAUAGUGGCCGGGCUCGAUGGGAAGAGAGAGAACACUAUGGGAUUAUGAGAGAAAAUGAGAAACUGCUUGUUUUUCAUUGGUUAGAGUUAGUAAGUGUAGUAUCAACUUUGACCAUGUUUUUUAAGAGUGAAAUAAUAGGAGAGUAUGGUAGAUUAAGCAAGAGUAUCACAAAUCAAACUUAUCUCCUUAAGAGCAUUUCAGCAAAUGAUUUGCUAUAGGUUGUAGUACGUCUAAGUAUACAUGUGAUUUUGUAUAUUUGAUUAGGUUUGAGUUUACAUUUUGUUUUGAGAUUUUCAUUGUCAUAGUUAGUCUCAUGAUAACCAUUUUGAUCAUUGCUAGAGACACCAACUCCAUUUACAAGCAAAACAUCUUGUCUUAUCUUUGUAACCUCUAUCUAGUUCUUUUGAUGGUUACUAUUCCUUUUUUGGCUAAUCUUUGCAACAAUCUUGACAUUUGUUUUCUUCUGCAGUUGAAUUUCUGGUCAAUUUUCUUUAAAACUCCUCCUUUCAAAGGUACCUAUUUUCCUUUCCCUAACUUUUGCCUUUCUAUUGAAAUACAUAUAAGCAUUGGCUUCCAUCCACUUGUCUGAGACCAGCAUCAUUUUUAUCAGUAUGGAAUGAUCUUUCGCUUCCAUCCACUUGCCCGAGACCAGCAAAUAAAAAUCAACACAAUCUUUACCCGGACUUUACAGUGGAUUCUCUCAUCAAUGCGACAUAAAAAAAAUGGAACUUACAUGUCAUUCAGACGUUGGUGGAACCUCAAGAUGUGAAAAUUAUAGAAAAUGUACCAUUCUGUCGAUUUCAGACAACAGAUCGUGAUGGAUGGUAUUUUACUAAUAAUGGAAGAUACACAGUUAAAUAUGGAUAUCAAGUAGAAUGAGUGUACCUGGAUAGAGAAAGAACGCUACCAGAGUAUGGUCCUUCGGUCUUGCCGCUGAAGGCUUUCAUGAUGAAACAAUUUUUGUGGCAACUGGUAUCAUGAUGUAUAGUGGUUAAGAAAAAUUUAAGAGCAAGAGGACUAGGAAUACAAGAGGAUACAAUUUGUGCUCGAUGUGCAGCAACUCAUGAAUCCAUAAAUCAUGUGUUUUUUUAAUGUCCACCGGUGGUUCAGGUUUGGGCGCUCUCACGAAUUCCAUCGAAUCCAAACAUCUUUCCCACCCAAACACUUUUUGCAAACAUGGAUCAUUUAUUUUGGAGGGUCUCUCCGGAAUUGGAAGAUCAUCAAUUUGCAUGGAUUUUAUGGUACAUAUGAAAAGGACGAAACAAAAAAGUCUUUAGAAAUUUGGAUAUUGAUCCUAUGGAUACUCUCAAAUUGGCAGAAACAGAUAGGCUGAGACACAUAUUUCACUUACACAUGGACUCGCUCAAACCCGAUUACCAGUAGAAGCAACAAUACCGUCUAUCCGAGGUAGAUGAUGCUUUAAGAAUGGAUCAUAAAAAAUCAGGAAAUAUAUUCGGGACAAGGUUGGUAUAGCACACUAGAAGGUUUUGAUGGGUUAAUGGGAGUGAGGAAUACAAGAGCGAGUCAGUCGACACUUCACUCAGAGAUAGAUGCUCUCAUUUGGGCAAUAGAAUGUAUGAGGAACUUAAGACAGUUUACUGUAACAUUCGCAACAUAUUGUCAACAUAUGCAACAUUUGGUGAAGAUGGUUUCAGCAUCAGAAGAAUGACCAACAUUUGCAAGUUAUCUGAAAGACAUAAAGAUCUUGAAGAGAAGUUUCAACAGCUCAUAGAUCGUUCAUAUAUCACAGAUGCAAAAUUCAAGGGCAGACAGUACAAGAAAGCAACUGUUGUUUGUUGUUCAUAUGGAUGCAGAGCUACCAAUUAGGUUUGCAAAGUCUAUAUGAGUUUGUUUAAGUUGCUGAUAAAAAAUAUAUUGUAUUUUAGUUAAAUUUAUAAAAUAGCCUCAACCAUAAUAUGUGUGGCUAUUUAUGUCAAAAAAUGUACAGUUAGUUUUGUGGAUAUUUGUUAAUAAAACUACAGUUUAGUAUGUGGCUAAUUGUGACUAUAAUAGCUACAAAUACGGUUUGUUGUUAUUUGAGAAUAUUAGCCACAUGAUAAAUUAAUUCUUUUAUGAUUCAUCAAAAUGAAUCCUUUAACCAUAUGAUUCUCUGAUUGAAUAGACUUAAGCGGAAGCAUACCUAUAUCCAUUGCUUUUAGGAUCUGAAGUUAGGGAAUGGAUAUUCCAAAGCACACCCUAUGUGACUUUAGUUCUCUAUUGAUGAGAUAUAAAGAGAUUCUGUAUUUUCGGCUAGGGUUGUCUUGGGGACCAUAACCCUCUUUAUAUAUAGAAUUAAUUUCUAGUUCAGCCCUUCACUAAACUAGAAAUUACUUAAGGUAUCCACAUAUAAAUAUUUCAUAACACUUAUGCCCAAGCAUUUACCUUAUUCACAAUAGUGACCAAUUAAAUAGGCUAAUUGAUUAAUGGCUUUAUCAUAUUUAUUCUUUAACAUAUGUGACCCCACCAAAUGAUCUUACAAUCUUCCAAUGGGUCAGUCAUAUAUGUGCCUUAGAAUGUGAUAGACUGUAUGAGCGCUCUUUAUGCCAUUAAUCCCGUGAGCAUAAACAAUCUCGUCCAUUAGUUAUACUAACAUAGGAUCACAAUGGCUUUUGUUACAUUACUUUCAUAACUAAACAUUUCAUGGUUACUUACUUCAACACAACCAAAUGACAUAGAUUAAUUAUGAAACAUGUGGCAUGAAAAUCACAUGAAAUGUGGUUUGUACAUGUCGAUUUUCAACUGGCCCUACUUUAGUGAGAUCAACUUAACCUUAGUGUACAAAAUGUAUGCCGAAAACUUUAAACUUUAUUUCUGAUCAGAAAAAUGUGCAUAACAUAAUCAGAACAUAAAACAUAAACCAAAUGACAAACUCCCACUAAACCGAAUGAUCCUCAAACACAGAAAUACCCAUACGAGCAGUAUGCUCAUGAAAGACCUUAGGUACAAUACCUUUUGUGAGAGGAUCUGCAAUCAUAGAGUUUGUACCUAAGUGUUCUAUAGUAAACUUUCCACUUUGUACCCAUUCCUUAACAACUCGGUACUUGAUGUCUACCAACUUAGACUUUACCGAACUCCCACUGUUGUUGGAAUACAGAACAGCUGCCUUAUUGUCACAAUAUAACUUGAGGGGUCUUUCAAUUCCUUCAAGAAUCCUUAAGCCUGUGACAAAAUUUCUCAGCCAAAUUCCCUCAGUUGAUGCCUCGUAGACUGCUACAAUUUCUGCUGCCAUUGUGGACGAUGUUACGAGUGAUUGCUUAGCAAUACGCCAUGAGAUCGCCCCACCGGCCAACAGAAAAACAUAACCCAAUGUAGACUUUCUACUAUCUUGGCAUCCCGAAAAAUCAGAGUCAGAAUACCCAUAUUAUCUGAUCUCCGAUACGUGAGCAUAUGGCAUUUUGUUCUCUGCAAGUAACGCAUGUCCCUUUUGGCUGCUUUCCAAUGGUCCAUGCCUGGAUUACUUAAGUAUCUACCUAACACUCCAACUAUGUAUGCAAUAUCCGGACGCGUACAAACUUGAGCAUACAUAAGACUCCCUACUGCGGAUGCAUAAGGAAUCUUUUGCAUCUCCUGAAUUUCCAGUUUUCCUUUAGGGCACUGUUCGAGACAAAACUUGUCUCCCUUAGCGAUUGUGGUAAUCUCAUGGUUUGCAAUCAUGCAUGCCAAAUCUUUUAAGAUAUAGCUCUUUUGUGAUAAUCCAAGAAUUCCUCGAGAGCGAUCUCAAUGAAUGUCGAUCCCUAAUACAAAAGAUGCAUCACCAAGAUCUUUCAUCUCAAAAUUUCCCUUAAGAAAGUUCUUGGUUUCAACCAGCAUGCUAAUAUCGUUAGUGGCCAGAAGUAUCUCAUCGACAUACAUUUACUCCCACUGAACUUUUAAUACACACAAUCAUCAACCAAAUUCACCUCAAAACCAAAGGAGGUGAUAACCUUAUGAAAUUUGUGGUACCAUUGACGAGAAGCUUGCUUUAGCUCAUAGAUGGAUUUCUUUAAUUUGCAAACCAUAUCUUUUACAUCACCUAAAGCAAAAUGUUCUGGUUGCACCAUAUAGAUCGUUUCCUCAAUGUCUCCAUUGAGAAAUGCUGUCUUAACAUCCAUCUGAUGAAGCUCCAAAUCAUAAUGUACAACAAGGGCCAUGAUUUUCCUAAAAGAAUCCUUCGAAGAUACCGGAGAGAAGGUUUCUUUAUAGUAAAUCCCCUCUUUCUGAGUAUAUCCUUUAGCCAAUAUACGAGCCUUAUGUCGUACCACCUUACCAUUUGAAUCCCGCUUGGUUUUAAAUAACCAUUUACAAUCAAUGGGUUUCUUUCCUUCUGGUAAUUUAACGAUUUCCCAAACCUCAUUGUCUAGCAUUGACUGAUAUUCUUCUUUUGCUGCUUCGAGCCACAUAUCCGACAUGGAAAAACUCAUAGCCUGAAGGAAGGUGAUUGGAUCAUCUUCCAAAAGAGUUUGAUUUUCCUCAUGUUCCAUUAGAAAUACUAUAUAAUCAUCUGGAAUAGCAUUUCUCUUCACUCGGGUGGAUCGCCUAAGAGCAACUUGAUCUUGCUUCACUAGUUCUUGAGGAUUUUAAGUUUGACCUUCUUGUGUGAUAUCAUCGACAACCUGAGUUGGAGGGAUGACUUAAUUAUCAACCUGAGGAUCCAAAUUUAAUUCAUCAGAAGUAACUAUACGAAUCGGUAUGGGUACUGGAGCCAAUUCUUCCUCAAAAAUGAUAUCCUUAACCUUAUUUCUCCCCCCAAAAUCAAUAUCCUCAAAGAACGUAGCUGUUCCUGUAGUAUAGGUAUUGGAGCCGAUUCUUCCUCAAAGAUGAUAUCCUUAACCUUCCCCCCCCCCCCAAAAUCAAUAUCCUCAAAGAACGUAGCUAUAUCCGUCUCAAAAAUGUUCUUAGCAGUGGGAUCGUAAAACUUAUACCCCCUUGAGCGCUCGGAAUAACCAAUAAAGUAACUGCUAACUGUUCUUGAGUCCAGUUUCUUUUCAUACGGCUUAUAAGGUCUUGCCUCAGCUGGACAUCCCCAAAUCCGAAGGUUCUUUAGACUAGGCUUACGAGCAGUCCAAAGCUCAUAAGGGGUUUUAGCAGUUGCUUUAGUUGGUACCCUAUUAAGAAUGUAUGCUGCAGUCUUUAGUGCCUCUCCCCAAAGUGAUUCAGGCAAGGAGGAAUGACUAAUCAUACUCCUCACCAUGUCCUUAAGAGUGCGAUUCCUUCUCUCAGAUACACCAUUCAUGCUAGGCGACCCUGGCAUGGUGUACUGAGGCACAAUACCACACUCCUCUAGGUAUCUGGUAAACGAUCCUGGACGUUGUUCACCUGAGCCAUCAUACCGACCGUAGUAUUCACCACCACUAUCAGAUCUGACAGACUUUAUCCUUCGGUCGAGUUGGUUCUCAACCUCAGCCUUAAACUUUUUGAACACGUCCAAAGAUUCCGAUUUCUCAUGAAUGAGAAAUAGGUAUGCAUAUCAAGAGUAAUCGCCAAUGGAUGAUAUAAUGUAUUGUUGACCAUUCCAAGAAGCCGUAGGGAACGGUCCACAAAUAUCCGUAUGAAUCAACUCAAGGACUUCUGUAGCUCUAUAUGCACCUAAUCUCUUAUGCUUGGUCUGUUUUCCUUUAAUGCAAUCCACACAUAUAUCACAAUCUGUGAACUUUACGGAACUCAAUAUACCUUCUGACACAAGACGCUCAACUCUAUUUAUAGAGAUGUGACCUAUGCGUUGGUGCCAAAGAGUUCCUGAAUUUGCAUCUUCGAACUUUCGUUUAGUACCUCUUAAUUCAACAUUUAAACUUUCAUCGUUAGAGUUUAUAAUGUCAAGCAUAUAAAGACUGUGAUUUUCCAAAAGUUUACCGGUCCCAAUAAAUACUGAAUUUAAAGACAAAGUAGAGCUUCCUUUCUCAAUUAGACAAGAAUAACCUGAGUUGUAUAACCAAGGGCCGGAAACCAAAUUACGUCUAAAAUACGGUACAACAAAAGUGUCUUUCAAAUCCAAAAAAUAACCAGAACUAAAAAACAGUCUAAAAUGCGCGAUUGCCUCCACAUGCACUGGACUCCCAUUAGCCACAUGAAUGCGUCUUUCAGCAUCAGUUGGGUUCGACAGCUUAGGCAACCCUGAAGUGAAACACUGAUGUUAGUAGUAGCACCAGAGUCUAACCACCAAGUGUUUAUAGGUACUUCAACUAAGUUCAUUUCCGAACAAACCAAAGCGAGGAACAUACCUUUCUUAGCACGCCAAGCGUGAUACUUAGGGCAGUCCUUCUUUAUGUGUCCACCCUUCCUGCAAAAGAAACAUGUAUCUUCAACCUUAGCAUGUUUCUUUUAGGUAGGACCCUUAGCAGCAUCAUCUUUAACAGGCUCAAAUUUCUUUCUUUUGCCAUGUCCCUUAGAGGUGUAAACCAUAUGAGCACUUUCAGUCUUCUCUUGUUUUAUUCUCUCUUCCUCUUGCACACAAUAUGCAAUGAGCUUGUUAAGAGACCAUUGCUCCUUUUGUGUGUUAUAACUUGAUUUCAGCUGACUGAACUGAGGAGGAAGAGAGUUCAAGACAAAUUAUAUGAGCAAUUCAGCCGGAAGCUCAGUCUUAAGUGCCUUGAGUUUUGAAACUAUAUUGGACAUUUACAAAAUGUACUCCCUUAUUUUUCCAUUGCCAUGGUACCUCAUCGUACUAAAGCGAUGCAAAAGCAUGCUUAUUUCCGCCUUAUCGCUUCUUGCAAAGCGCGAAUCCAUCUCGGCAAGGAACUGUUUGAGAUCAUUGAUCUCCUCACCACCUCUAAAGGUUUCUGGAAUGGUGUCCUUAACGAUCAUCAAACCCAUGCAAUUUGAACGCUCCCACUUCUCAUGAACAGCCUUAUAUUCUUGAGUACUGUCAUCCGUAGGAGAAGCAGGUUUGUCCAUCAUUAGCGCAAGGUCGAGAUCCAUACACCCAAGAACAAUCUUAACUUUAUUUUUCCAUUCGAAAAAAUUAGAACCCGUAAGUGUUGGAAUGGAUCCUAAGUUGGCAGACAAAGUAGCUGAAAAGAGAACAAAAUCCGAAUUAAUUACUCACUAUCUGAAGAAAUCAAUAACAAAUUUUAACUGAUUAUGUUUUCCAUCCAAUAUACCAAAUGUAACAUCAAUAUCAAGUCUUUGGACAGUAAUAUCGACUACUAGCGGUACUCUUGUUGCAACGAUCAAAUACUGACAAUAAUUCAUAAUAAACAAUAAUCCUUCCUUUGGGCUGAUUUAUCAUUCAUAUGUUAAAAUCCAUAUAAUUGUCACGUAUUCACCAUCACAGUUGUAUGUACAAUUCGGCCAAACAUCAAACCUUCCUUUGGGUCGAUUUGACAUCCGCAUGAAUAUUGCACACACGUAUAUAUUUAAACAGGGCAAAAUACAACCUUCCUUUGGGCCGAUUAAAUAUUCGCCAUGAUUUUAUAUACAUACUUCUUUUAAUAAUUCUUAUGAAAAAUCUCAUCAAGAGAGGUCUUUCUUUGGGCUGAUAUCUUGAUUUAAUUAAACAUUUAAAUUAUUAAAAAUGCAUAAUCAAAUUUAUUAAUUGAUUUAAAACUGAAUUUUUUUUUUAAGUUUUCUUGUGGAGAUUAAAGGUCUGUGGACUCUGUAUGCAAGAAUACUUAAGCGGGGCAGUGGUUAGAGACACUUGAGUGGGCGGAAGCUUUCACGCGCGACAUGGGUUCAAAACCCACCUAAUGCGCUUUUUAACUUAAUUAAAAGCCAAACGGGCCGGACUAAAUCCAAUUGAUUUAAAACAUGAGAAACUGGGACAUAAUAAUUAAAUUCGCCGGGCCAGAAUAGUUAAAUUAAAUCAGAAACUGAAUACGGGCCUAAUAACAAAAUAAGCCCACCACGAAUUAUUCUCUAACCUAGGGUUUUCAAAAUACUAUCAAAAAGAUUUUCUCAGCCGUCAACAACCAAAAAACGGAUCUGAUAACAUAUUUAGAAAAAAUUGUUCUACCAAAAAUUCCAAAAAAUUUUAACAAAAUUUCAGAAAACCAUAAUCUUAAGAACAAUAAUUUUCCAAAACUAAAUCCAUAAACUUUAUUUAAAUCUAAAUUUAAACAUGUUUUUCACUAGACAAUAACCAAAUAUCUAAAUCUAAACAUGUCAAGAAAAUUCAGAUCUAAUACAAAUCCCAAAAUAUUUUAAUCAUCUAAAACCUUUAGAGAAUAAUCAGAUUCAACAAUCCAAUAUUUUCACAGAAUAAUUAAAUCCGAAUUUAUAUUAAAACUAUAAACAAAUUCUAAAUUAAUUUAGAUCCAAACAAAAAAAAUCAACAUGGUGCUCUGAUACCAAUUGUUAAAUUAAUUCUUUUAUGAUUCAUCAAAAUGAAUCCUUUAACCAUAUGAUUCUCUGAUUGAAUAGACUUAAGCGGAAGCAUACCUAUAUCCAUUGCUUUUAGGAUCUGAAGUUAGAGAAUGGAUCUUCCAAAUCAAAUCUUAUGUGACUUUAGUUCUCUAUUGAUGAGAUAUAAAGAGAUUCUGUAUUUUCGGCUAGGGUUGUCUUGGGGACCAUAACCCUCUUUAUAUAUAGAAUUAAUUUCUAGUUCAGCCCUUCAUUAAACUAUAAAUUACUUAAGGUAUUCACAUAUAAAUAUUUCAUAACACUUAUGCCCAAGCUUUUACAUUAUUCACAAUAGUGACCACUAAAUAGUUUAAUUGAUUAAUGGCUCUAUCAUAUUUAUUCCUUAACGUAUGUGACCCCGACAAAUGAUCUUCCACCACAAACAUCGUUAUGGCUAAUCGUAUAAGAGAAACCACAAAUAGCCAUAAUUGAACAAUAACCACAAACUCGAUGUUAUGAAUUUUUUUGGCUAUAUGUAACUAUUGAUCAAAUGACCACAAAAUUUUGGAUAUAGCUACAAUAAAUUUUGUGGCUGCCAUCCAUCUCUUAUUAAAAAGAAUCAUUUUCAUAGACCCAAUUUCUUUUAUAAGUUUUAAAGUAAAUACACAUUUGUAUUACAACUAAAUUAACUAUUCUAGUCAUGAAAAAUAACAUUAUACUACUAAAUGUGUUUCCAAACAACACAAUAACCAAUCUUGGGUCCAAAUAAUAUAAAGCAACAUUAGGUCAUACCUUUUAAUAAUUUUUUAUUUACCUUAUUUUAAAUUAUUUGAUUUAAACUUAAAGUAUUUGAUUUUUUUUUAAACCUGAAAAAACCCAAAAAAAAAACAUCGAACCGGGUUUUAAAAUAGAGGCCCAAAAUUUUGUGGGCCGAACUUAGGUGGCAAUGGGGUUUGCAGGUUUUGGUCCGGGCAGGGCAAUCCCAAUUGACACCCCCAAUUGACAACCUUAAGACUUAAGAGGGAUUACAUGCUAGACAAUACAAUACAACAUGUAUCAACCCUAGAGACCAUAGAAAUACAUACAGAUAUAUGUACAUAUUACAUAUAUAGGAUGAUUAGUUUUGAGAAAUAAAAAAGAUUAAACAUUUGAUUACAUAAGGCGACAAGCGUGGACGUUGUCGUCGUUAAAGAAGUUGCUGACUUUGUCGUCGCCACGGUUAGUGACGUGGAUAUGACCAUGACGGUCGCUGAGGUUGUAGCCGUGGCGGUAGUAGUUGUAGCUUUCCCUGAAUUCGCGGGUUGUGUCUUUGAAGUAGUGGUCCGAGGAAGUGAAGUAGCGAGGCAUGUCCGGGUAAGGCCAGAACUCCGCUCGCUUCCCGGCUCUUCUCACCGCCUUCAGCACCUUCUUCCUCUCCACGUACCCAACCACCGUCACUCUCUCCAACUCCAGGUUCACCUCCACCGAGUCCACUCCUUCACCACCACCAAUACGACACCGUUUACUUUGUUAAUUCAAUAUAUAUAUAUCAUUCACAAUUUUACUAAUUAGCUUCUUUUCUAAAACACACUUUGAUUACCUCUCAACUUGUAAAUGGCAUGCUUGACUACCCUCUCGCAUCCACUGCAGCACAUCCGUACUUUUAGGUCUAUCGUCUACUUUGUUGCAAAACAUUCAUAUGUUGCAGACUAAUUAAUUAGUAUCAAUAUUUGAUAAUAUCAAAAGAAAAAGAUUAAUAAUUAGAACAUUUUUAUAUGUAUAUGCUUAAUCGGCCAAAGGUAUAUUAGCAACAUCCACUAGUGAGACAAACUAAUGACAUUUCGCUUCCGUUUUGUCCGAUUCCCUAACGAAUCAAUAAAAAAACAAAAGUCAUGCUUUAACAUACAAGGAAAAAAACACUUGAACACAGUACGUUAAUAUUUUUUUCGAGAAUCUAUUCUGCCAAAAAGUAUUUCGUAUCUAGCGUUUCUUGCAAAGUCCGCAGAACUUAUGGUAAGUAACUAGGUAAAGCUAACGAUUUCCACUAAUUAGCCAUAUCAUAAGAGGAAGGUUUCCAGACCGAUACAGUUAUGUUGUUAUCCUAAUAAAUCGAUUUAUUCUCUUUUUAGCUACUGCAUGACAACGUAAUUUCAUGAUCAUAGGGUCAACCAGAGACUAACUAAGCUAUAUACAUGAAAACUGAGGUUAGUCAAAAAGAGAAGAAGAAAGAGAAUACCUGUAAAGAAAGUGGACGAGCCUUUGGCAUGGUGUGGUAAUAGUUGAGGUGGCUCACACUUUUGACCUUUGGCUUCUUGUGUGGAUAGCCAAGAAACAAACCGUAGGUGAUGGUCGAUAUGAUGGACCUCAAACCCAUUUCUCUGCUCUAACGCUCUCUGCUCUAUAUAUAUUUAUACGUACUGAACCUACUCACUUAGCUAGAAAGAUUGAUGGUCAGGACUCACAAAUCUUAGAGAGAGGAAGCAAUAAAUAUAUAAACAAGAGAAAUGCAUGGAGAGGGGUUUUAAACAAAGAAUAAGAUUAGACAGAACGAAAUAUAUUCCUUUGGAAUCGCUUCUCUCUGUAAUAAGUUGUAAUCUCUGAGGUGAUAUUUAUUUAUAUUCCAUAUCAUUUUCAUGUAUAUUAUUUAUGACUCAAAAUACAUUACUACUUUAUGCUCUUAGCGAAAUCAGAGGGUAACAAAUAAUGGCUUUAUUUUGUCCAAAACACGUAUAAUGGUUUUUUUUUUGGCAGUCGGCUAUUCUAUUACUCAAAUUUGAGGUGAUCUGGGGAGCUAUACCGGAAUAAAACAACCAAUAAAACAUAGAGAUCUAUGAAAAGAACAUGCAUUCCUAACUAACGAAUCUGCAAUCUCAUUUUGUGUCUUUGGUAAAUAGUUGAUCUUGAAGUCCGAAAAACACAACCGAAGAGUUUGAAUGAUUUUCAACUCAGUUGAAAAGUUGGGCCAAACUUGUGGCUCUUGUAUCGUUGUAAUCAGGUCCUUGCAAUCAGUCUCAAAUCUCUGACAGUUCGAGUGUGGUAUCAUGCUCUCCAUUGCCCAUCUUAGUGCUUCUAACUCUGAGUGUAAAGGUGUUUCUCACCGCAUUAAGUUCAUGGAUCCCAUAAGUUGAAUCUUCCCCAUACUAUCCUUCCAGACCCAUCUCAUUCCACUGAACUGAGCUGUGGAGGUCCACGAACCAUCCACCAUGCAAAUAUUACCCAAGCUUAAGGCAUGUAUUUCUUCUUCAGGCUGUCCCUGUAGAGGAGGUGAUAUAUUUUCUUUCUCAUUAUGCCAAGCUUGGCAUUCACUCUCUGCAUACUUGACUAGUUUCAAUGGGUCUCUAUCUAUGCCUAUGAACAACUUAUCAUUCCUGGCUUUCCAGGUGUACCAAAUUAUCCAAAGAUAAGAAUCUCUAUCAUCUUCCGGCUUCAUUAUAUUAUUCUUCCUCCAGAAAAGAUAAUCCAUGUUAGCGUAAAUAUAUAAUGGUUAUGGUUAGUUUUAUGGUUCAAAAAACAUAUAAUGGCUUUAUGCAAAGGCAAGUUGAUGAAGAUAUAUGAUUAGUUUGCUAACCAUUAUGGAUAUCAUAUAGUGAUAAAUUUCAUAAUUAAAGCUUCUUUUAAAUAUAAUUUAUAAAAAGCUUUGUCUUGACAUAAUGCGAUGGUAUCAAGUGUUUUUUCUCCUCACUGAUGGCAUAUUAACGUUUUAAAAAUCCAAUUCUAAAGAAGUGUGGCGCUAUAGCUUAUGCUUGAUGUAUAUAAAAAUCAAAAGAAUAUAAGUUGUCCUGGUUUUAUGGCUUCAUUGGUCGUAAAGUGGCCGCAACCGCACCAUCCAGUGCACACUGCUAUAAAAGGAAGAUUUUAUUAAAGAUCCAACCGAAAUUUAAUUGAGUUGAUUAAGAAUAUAUCCAUAGUUUUAUACCCAUGAGUGGAUUUCGAAGGAGACCUCUAGACUUUUAUAUCUAUUAUCUACUCUCGAGUAGAGAGCUGGUAACAGAACCAUAGUAGAACACAAACAUUCAUAGUUCAACCAAAACCAAAGAGACUGUAUAUAUACCUUUUUUGUAACAGAGACUGUAUAUAUACAAAUUCAGAAAUUCCUACUAUAUAUAGGGAAUCUAAUCUAUCAUUGGGUUGUAAACUUGUAAUAACCGUGUAGCUUGCAUGCGUUCAACUUGGGCUUUACGGCUCAUCUUCUAGAAGAAAUUUAUAUGAUUGUGAUAUUGUCUUCCUUCUAAUUACUCCAAGAAAUGAAACAAGUGAAAUGUUUCGUUCGAGUAUGAGAUUUUAUGUAAGAAAAUGUUAGUAAAAACGAAUCUGUUAUAUUUGAAGAAUAAAGAAAUAAAUUACUAAGAACUCCCACUUAAUCUAGAAGAACAGUACCUUUUUUUUUGGCAACAUGAAGAACAGUACCCUAUAGAUGCUAAGAUAAUAUUUUAUUCCGAAGAAUAUAUUAUCGUUGGUAGAAAUAAAACGAAACCAUAGAUUUAAAAUUUUGAAAGGAGAGCAUCAACAUGUGUCAGUAUCAUCCAAACUAAAAAAAUAUCAGGAGAGAACGCGAUAUUCCCACGCAUAUAUUGUAAACAUGAAAAGACAUGUAUUGAUGGAUGAUCUUAGAGAAUCAACCAACGUUGAGAAAAAAGUCGAUGAGUUAGAGAAAUGGAGCAUGUGCUGCUCCUGCUUCUGCUGCAUGGCCCGGAUUAAGAAACCACUCUCUCCUCUCCUCUCCCUGUCUAUUAUUCCUUUAUUCCCUUAUUUUAUUUUAUUAAUAAUAUUUUAUUUAUUUGUAAAAAUGUUCCUUAUUGUUCACCCUUUUAUUACACAGUUCACAUCUUUUCCCAACAAAACUCUUAACAAAUAUCUCUAGCAAGGGAUUGUCAAAUACGUGAAAUUAUUAGUCGGGCUUCUGUUUCAAAUGGUAUUGUAGUUAGUAUACUGUUUUAGAUAAAACAAAGUUAUCAAAAUGUUUUGAAGGGAUCGGGAUUCGAGAAUAUAAUUAACUUUACCUAAUUAUUCUUGAGUGAGUGGGAUCUUUUUAGAUUAGUUAUUGUUAUUAUGUAGAAAAAGUGGUCGGUGUAAACAAAGCCUUCAUAUAUUAGUAGGAGAACAUAGCAUGCUUAUUGUGAUUUCAACCCUUAAUUUAUAGAGGACCACCGUUGUAUUUUGAGUCAAAUUAACUAAUUUAUGUUCACUGUGAUUUAUUUACCCCAGCAACAGUGGUGAACAUAGUACAUUGAUUGGAAGAUUGAUCAACCUUCCAACAGAGCAUCCUCCAUGCCAAACAUACGACUUAUCCGCAAAACAAACCAGCUCACUGUAAGAAAGGGAGAAUAUUUCCAGUUGGAGCGGUGUCAAAGACAAUAGCAUAAUCACUUGUUUGCACCAACCUAAGGAAACAAAAAAAACGAACAUCACAAAUAGUAAUAGUUACUUGAACAAAACUCAUGGGGCCUCAUCGACUCCAUUAGACUAAGCAGAGAAUAAACAAUCCAUCCAUCCCUUCAGGACCAGCCAGCCAAGCAGUGGCAUCCACCUCCUGAGAAAAGGCAAACAAGAUUCAGUACCAAGCAGCAGCAUCUGCUUAUGGUAUGUGUGUAUAAAUAUAUACACACCACCUAAAGAGCUUCAAUUUUUAGAAGAUUAGGCAUAACACUCCAAUCCGGAAAUCUUUGAAAACACUUGAAAAUGUCUAAGUAAAAGAUCAUGAACAUAAAAAAUACUGCAAUUUUAUAAAUUAAAACACGAGACUAAAUACUUAAAAUCAUGUAGUUUAUAAUAAAAAUAUCUUUUGCAAAACUUCUGAACAUUACCCAAGUUCAUACAUCCUAGCCCCGAUAGUCUUUAUAGCCUCGCACUCCGGUCCACACAAUCAACCUUACCUGCAUCGCAAAGGAGGAAAGAGUAUACAAAAUUACUUAGUGAAGACGCUCAAUACUGCCCACCACAGUCCAAUAAUCAAACACUCAAUCAAUACUAACACCCUAGCAUCCGGUUCUAUCAUUCUUUUACUUAACUGGUUCCAUCAUUUUCAUUACAUUAACAUUCCUUAACCGUUCGAUCUGAAGGUCCAUGAUCAUGCGGCCGUAGCCAAACCUGCGGCCGUAGCCAAAUUUGCGGCCGAAGCCAAACAUGCGACCGAAGCCAAACGCCCCAAACCUACGGUCGAAGCCAAACCUGCGGCCGCAACCAAACCUGCAGCCGAAGCCAAAACUGCGGCCGAAACCAAACCUGCAGCCGAAGCCAAACCUGCGGCCGAAACCAAACAUGCGGUCGAAGCCAAACAUGCGGCCGAAAACCUGCGCCCGAACCCAACCCUGCAGCCGAAGCCAAACCUGCGGCCGAAACCAAACAUGCGGUCGAAGCCAAACAUGCGGCCGUAGCCAAACCUGUGGCCGAAGCCAUAUCUGCGGCCGUAGCCAAACCUGCUGUUGAAGCCAUGCGACCGUAGCCAAACCUACUACCCGUAUGACCCGUCGGUCCUUUACGGUCGUAGCCAAACCUUCGUCCCGAAUGUCCCUUACAUCCUCUUAACCGGUUCCCUUAAAUAACUCAAUUCGAUUAUACUUUCUUUAACGCAUUAUAAUUUCAUGACUUAGAUUCUCAAGAUCAAACAUUCAUUUCUCACAUAAACAUCCUAGCAUAAUUCUAUUAUCAAUCCAUCAAUUCUAGCAUGCAUUUCUUAAGAACACAAUGAACAAACUUUCCUUAAAUGAAUUCUAUCAUACAUUUUCCUAUGAACACGAUGAACAAACUUUCCAUAAACGGAUUCUAUCCAAGCAUAAACAUGAUCAUACUGAAUCAAACCAGACAAACAAUUCUUAUUGGACUGCCACAAAUCACAUCAUCACCUUAGCUGAAUCUCAAGGAUUCGAAGACUCAGAACUACCUAGCAUUUUCAAGCGAUGAACUUCUUAGCUCCUCCUUGCUGAAUCCCUCUUCUCGGACUUCUCUCUUUACCAACUAGUUUCUGCUCUCUAACUUCUCUCUAAUCUUGCUUUCUGAAUUGUGUGAAAAAAUGAGAGCUCAAGGGGUCCUUAUAUAAGAUUUCUUAAGCUUUCUCACCAAGCCGAACACUUAAUGCCAGUUUCCUUAUUUGGCUUGGUCAAAGAUCACUCACCAUCAAUGGCUUGAUUUGAUAUUUUUGAUUCUUUCCUUGGAUGAUUCCUGCAGAUCCGACAUUCCUUUUGUAUUAUCCCGCAAUUAUAGCUAGUCAAACUUUCCUUACUUGGAACCCGCAUUAUCCAACAGCUGAACAUCUUUAAUUGGUCUCGCGGUCUUAAUUUCUCCGUAUGUAUGCUCUGAUAGUUCCAUGAUCGGUUUACCAUCGCUCAACCCAUUUUGAAUAUUUCCAUGAACUCACUAAAAAUCUGACACUUAGUUAAAAAUACAUUUAUUUUUCAAAUCUUCAUGAAUACAAGCGUCUCCAAACUUAGAAAAUAGAACGCGAGAGGUUUUAUUUUACAAGGAGCGAGUGUCUCCACACUUAGAAAAAUAAGCUCCUUGUAGAAUAAAACCUCUCGCGUUCUAUUUUCUUCAAAAUUAAAAAUAUUCCGGGAACGGGUUACGAGGUACUUUAUUGCUUAGUUUGGCUUUUAUGGAAGCUUUAAGGGCAUCUGCAUCAAUAAACCUUGAGUGGGGUUCAUAACUUUAAUUUUUUAUUAUUAUUUUUUUACUUUUUUCGUUUGAUUUAAAAAAAAAAAAAAAUUAAGCAGACCAAUCGCGGGCCACCACGUAGCGUGGGGUCCGCGAUACAGUGAUGAACCAGGUUCAGGCAGGAUGAGUUCACAAAAAAGAGAAUAUUUAAACUUUUUUUUUUGGGAAAAGUGUGAACUUCUGCAUAUGCUCUAACAAUUUGUACGCAUAAACUCAUCAUCAAACCUUUUUCUUAAAGGCGGUACAAAUUUUUGAAAGCUCUGUUAAAAAACAAACCUAGAAUUCCAGCAAAAGUCCAACUUGGGACUGAAUCAUAUGAAGAAUACAAGUUGAGCACAUCCAAGUUCCAAAACUAAUCCUACAAUUCGCAGAUUCAGAUUGAAAUUAGUUGACUCAGAGAACUCUCACACACGAUGUCCCACCCACCACAACUAGGAUUGUGAGCCGGGUCGGUAGAGAUGAUGAGAUAAACUACUGUAUGUAUGUUCCAGGAACAUUUGUGUUGAUCAUUCGAUUUUGUAGAAAACAUAAUAAUCCAUUAGGGUAGCUGCUGAGUAGACUUAUCCUUGGUCUUUUAAAAAAAAAGAAGGUAAAGUAUCAACGUGAUCCUGGCCAUGUUGUUGAUCUUACUAAUUUAAGCAGGCGAUUUGUAUAUGUUAUUAUUGUUGUAAUAUAUAAAAUCAAUUCUUGUAUUUCUUACAAAUGCCUGACUUGGUUGGUCGUAAACAUGUAUUUAUAUUCUUAGCUAGGAAACAUUUAUUUCUUCCUAGGGAUGUAAAAGCCGAAAAAUGAAGAGAAGAGAAAGAUCCCUCCACUUCUUCUGCUCUCGAAACUAUCUCAUGGAUGGCUUAGUGGGCAAGGUAGGUACACUCUGCUCAUCCCUGAAGAAGUUUUCUGGAUCCACUGCUGUUUUUACUUUGACCAACCGAUCAAAAUUCUCUCCGAAGUACUUUCUCCCGUAAACCUCUGCUUCUCUAUAACUGUUUGGGCCAUGACUGUUGGUCCCUAUCUCAAGAUCCCUGUAGUUGAGAUACGUGUGCCUAGGAUUCUUGGUGACGAAAGGAGCCAUGUAGCUGUAGAAGCUUCUGGUCUUUUCCAUGAAACUGUUCUCCGCUUCUAUCCCCGCAUCUUUCCAGUUCAUCGAGUGCUGCACCUUGAAUAGCCUUUUCCUGUGAGGGAAGGGGGUCUUCGUGGUAGGCACUUGGCACAUUAUCCCUCCAUAGGGAUUGAAGACGAGCCCUAGUUUCCCAGUCUCCAUCAACUUGGUAAACAGGAAACCUAGACCUUCUUUGCUGAUCUCUGUCUCCACGUAAUCCGAUUUCCUUUUCAAGAAAGACGCUGAAUCAGGCUCUCUAUCCAGCAGAAUCUCGGGUUUAAUCAGCGUGGCGUUAUCGCUGUUGGCCCACCACAUCACCGACUGUAUCCACGUCAUCUCCGUGCAGUUCUCCGUCCUCAGACCAAGCUCCGGGAAUUCUUUGCCCAGCAGAGACAAGAGGUCGCUCUGUCUCCCCAAGAACAAGGCCACCACCGACGCUCGAACCGUCUGAGUUGUGUUCAUCGUCUUGGGUUGCAAGAGUAGCCUCAUGAACAGAUCCGGGCUUGUCUUGGGAGCAACAAACUGCCAUUUAUGGACCAUGUCUAGUGCAUUUUCCUCUAGCGUUUUCUCCACUCUGAACACAGUCACUGUCGGAGGAACAGCAACGAGUUUUAUCUUGAAGGCUAAGAUCACACCGAAGCUCGCACCUCCCCCGCCUCCAAUCGCCCAGAAAAGAUCCUCUCCCAUCGAUUUCCUAUCAAGAAUCCUCCCGUUCACGUCCACGAUCUUGGCGUCGGUGACGUAAUCAACGGAGAGUCCGUAUUUUCUGAUCAUGUUUCCGUAGCCUCCGCCGCUAAUGUGACCUCCAGCGCCGACGGUGGGACAGACUCCGGCGGGAAAACCAUGAGAUUUGCUUUUCUGCCAAAUGCUGUAAUAAACCUCGCCCAGAGUAGCGCCGGCUCCGACCCAUGCAGAGCCGCCGCCGUCGGCCAUAUCGACCGUGAUGUUACGGAGAUACGACAUGUCGAGGACGAAGUAAGGGCGGUUAGAUAUGUAGGAAACGCCAUCGUAGUCGUGGCCGCCGCUACGAGUCUUGAGCUGGAAGUUGAGAGAUUUGGUACAGAGGACGGUGGCCUGGACGUGGGCCUCCGAACGCGCCGCGAUUACGAUCAAAGGUUUGGGGGAUGUGGAAGUGUUGUAACGCGCGUUUCGGAUGUAGGCACGCAGCGUCGGGGUGAAACUGGCACUGCUCUGUGGCAAAACAACGUCGCAUAGCUUAUUUGGAGCUGUACAUGUUUGGUUGCUGAAACACUUGAGAAAGCUUUCGUAAAUUGGCUGAUUCGACGGGUCGACAGCGAGAGAACUUGAGGCAAGGCUAAGAAAUAUAAUUAAACAAGAGAGUUUCUUCAUCUUUUUUAUUACUAUUAAGAAACUCUCUUGUUCUAUUGUUGUUUUCUUAGCUAAUUGAAUUUCUUGUUGUACGGAGUAUUCUCAUUGGCAUAAAUAGUACACGAGUUCUUCAAAAUUUAGUCAUAGUUCCUAUCUUUAGACAUGGUUAUGACCUGCUAAUGGUCAAAGCGUGAUGUGCGGGUUUCUGAAAUUUCUUGGUUUGUGAUUCAGAGAUCUCUAUAUAGUCAAUUUUUAAGAUCAUUUUCAUUAUGUGAUGUAUGUAUAUGAAAUCUUGAUUGUUAGCAUUGUUUAAUAACAAAUAAAGUUUUGGUAGAGGGCGGAGCUACGUGACAUACGGAGGGGGCAGCUGCCCCCAAUAUUUCUUUUUAAUGAUACUUAAAUGAUCUUAUGCUAACUUCGGGCUUCUUUGGUUAUUUCUGAUGGUGCGGCUUCAUUGGCGGUUUUAAUGCUACAUUGGGUGAUACGAUGUGAAGGAUUGUGUCUUUUAAGUUUAAGGUCUAGUCUUUAUUUCUACUAGAUCUACUUUUAAAUUGUUAAAUUUUUAUUUUAAAUUUUGUGUGAAUGUUAUCAUUUACCCAAUUUUAAAAUCUUGUUACAUUUAUGUAACCAAAAAUUCAUUAUAGUAACACCACUAAAAAAUAAAGAUAAUAUAAGUAGGUUGGAAUUUUUCUUCUUUUUAUUUGUGUUGAAUUUUUGCUUAAUUCUUACGUGGAAUGCUGUAAUACUAUUUUUGUAUAUUAAUUUUUCCCUUAAAUUAUUAUAAUAUUUUUAAUAAUGUCUAUAAGUUUAGUUCUUAUUAUUGUAUAAGAAAUAUUAUAUGAUAAUGUUUGAAUUAUAUAGAUAAAAACUAAUUAUUUUACUUAAGAAAUUUACUAUAAAAUACUGCCCUCUAUUUUAUCAAUAUUUUUAUUUUAACAAUUUUUCUAUUAAGCAAAUAAAAUCACUAUAAAAUCCAUUGUAGUUCAUAUCUAUUUUAUUACAUACAUAGAUGAUUAAAUUCGAGUACAUCUUAUAACAUACAUAAAUCAGAGAAUAUCAUAAAUUACUUUAUAUAAAACAUGAAUGAAGUUUUUAUUUUUUUUGAAAAAGCACAGGAAUGAAGUUAAAUACAACUAAUCUUUAAGAUGCGUAAAUUUUACUACAACACGUAUAUUUAUUAUUAAGCAAGGUUUAGAACAAUAAUAAUAGGUUUUUCAGAAACUAUAUUGUCUGCUUGUAAUAGUAAUAAGCAUGAUCACCAUCAUUGUUUGAUGAUGAUGAAUAACAAUUUUUAUAGACAGCCAUAAACACACAAAAAAAAAACUGAUGGGAAUCUUUUAUUCUCAUUCGAUCAUUGAAGUAAGCUUUUUGAUGUAAUGGCUUGAACCACACAGUGGUAGGUGGUGUUAUGAUGUAUUGGCAUUUGAGAGAACAUAGAUAGUCUUUACGAAGACUGGAACGCCACACAAAAGGAAAGGUACCUAAAAUCAAAACUUUCUAGAGAAGGUCAAGAAGCAUACAUAAAACCGAUACUUUCCAGAGACACCGCACAAGAUACUAACUACGAAUGUUAAGGCUAGGAGCGAGAGACUCAGAGUGUGGAGUGUUGUACUGUUGACCAAGUGUGUCACCACCUUUCAACAUUUGAACAGCAGGCCUAGCAUGAAUCAUAGACAGAUACACAUCUCCAAUUUCCAAGACGCAUGCAGGAUUAACCGAGAUGAAUCCGAUCACGAAAUCUGAAUGAACCAGUGUAGUCUCCUGUAGCAAGGUUACCAGCAGACUGGUGCAAUUUUGCUCGCUCCUUCCUCCUUCCGAAGAAAAACAAAACCAAGAGAGGUCGUUCAAAUUCAGUAAACUAUCCCGAAGAGACUCAAAAUUAUCUGCAGCAAACAAAUAAGAUUAUUACUCUGCGUAUGGUUUAUUAAGACAGUUGGUGAUGGUUUUCAAAGUUCGGUACCUUUUAGACCAUUCUUCAAGAAACUCGUUGUCCUUGUGGUGAUCAAACUCGUGCGUCAUUCUGACUAAAAGACCUCUUUUAGCACACAGACGUUUGACUGUCUCUAGUAUCUACACAAAACAAAAAAUAAGCAUAUAUAAAUCAUGAAAUGAAGAAAAAACGAUCUUUCAAAUUUAACUAACAUGUGGGAAACGUAAGUGAGUUUGAGUGAUCCUGUCUACAGUCACAGUCAAAGAAAGAAUCUGAAAACAUCAGCAGAGUGUUUGAAACAUAAGACAUACAAAUUUAUAAAUGCAUAAGGAUGAUUUGUGUUAACCUUAAAUGAUGUAUCAAAGAUAAGCAGAUCUAGUUGUCCACCACCAGAUUUUGAUAUAAUUGUAUGCUCCAAAGACGAUGAGUUUGAGAUAUCUUCUAUGAGAGUAUAAGAAAAAGAAUGUGCACUAAGCAAUCUGUUACACUUGCUGUACUCAGUGCUUGGAGGAAAACGUGAAACAUCGAAUAUAUAAGCCACUCUUGAAUCUUGAUUUUUUCUCCAAAAAGGAAACCAAGACAGACAUAGUCUUCUCCAUGCAUCACCUACGGCGUAACUAAAGAUUGAGAUUCCACAUAGAUGCAGCAGGGAGACAUGAAAGAGGCUUUGAUUAACUUGCUGGAAGUGGCUUCUCAUAGUCUUCUUCGAUUACUCUCCAACCCAGCUGUUAUACUCGCCUAACUUCUUGGCCUUCUUUACGUUUCUUUUGAACCAAAUGCAGAACAUCCACAGCAAGGCUGUGUUCAGAAAAGUAUAAGCUUGAACGUCUAAAAUGUCAGACUGAAAUUUCCAAAGGCCAUUAAGAUGCCAUUAUUACCUAUCCAUAGCAUAUUGGCUUACGAAAAUUGGAGUACGAUCUAUAACAUUGGUAUGACUGAAUGGUUGCACGGAACAAAUAUCAUCCUAGCCAAGGAGACAGCCAUUUGAUUGUCUUCAGUGUCUACAAAAAGUAAGCAUAUAUAAACAAUAGAAGGGAAAGAAACCCAAACCUUUCAAAGUAAAGCUAACUUGGGUGUUGUGGGGUUUUUUCUGCAGUCAAAAUGAAAGAAAGAAUUUGAAAACAUCAGCGUAUAGUAAACAUAAAAUAAUUCAAAUGUAUACUGCAUAAGAAUGAUCAAACAAACACACACUAAGAAAUUUAUUACACUACCAUAGUCGGUGCUUUGAGGAAAGGAAACAAAGACAUACAUAAGUCUUCUCCAUAUAUCAUAAAUAAAGAAUGAGUCUCUACAUAGAUCAAGCAGAGAGACUUGAUUCACUAUUUCUGAAAGGCUUAGAGUAACAUACUGAAAGUGGCGUGAAUGAGAAAUCUGAACCUACAAAUGGAUUCUCAUAAUCUUCUCCGAUUGGUCACUGCUGCCCAGAAAUGAAGUAGACGGAAUCGCAUCUCGGACUAUCCCAAUCCAGGGGUGACAUCACUGAAGAACAGAGCCGCCAGUGCCUUCCCCGUUGAUAUGGACAUUUCCUUUGCCAUGAAUUGCAGGGAUUAUUGAAUUAGAAUCUGGGGAAGCUAAUAAUAUCAUUAGAAAUAAUAUUACAUACCUGUCGUCCAUGAGAAGCGGUUCUAAACCCAAUAAGCAUGUCCAUUUCAUACCCAUUGACUAAUGUGGUUUUAUGGAUUUCUCGUAUAAGAACGAUGAAAGUGAAGUGCAGAAGCCCGUUUGGAAGCGCUUGUUGCUGCUAAAUUGUUUGAGGCAAUAUAUCGGCCUUUUUAAGAAGUGUUAAUAGGAGGAAAAAAAAUAGGGACGUGGAAGGUUACAUCUAGUAUGAAUAAAGGUGUCAAGAGCAGGAAUCAAUGAUUCAGAGUGGGUGAUUAUUGCAAAGUAAAGGAGAUUUGGAGAGAGUGGAAACGAUAGUGACGAAGGAGAAGAGUUGGAGACGAUGGAGUAAGGUGAAUUUAGAAUGGGCCAAAACCAAAUUAGAUAAGCCCAAAACAUUUGGCUACUUGAAAUUCAAUGUCGACAAAGAAGAUGUGACGUGUCAAUUUCAAACUAUCUGAUUGGCUUGAUUUUCCGAUCCGACGUGGCAUAGCUGAAAGGACUUCAUAUUCCCCUUUUAAUAUUGUUAGAUCGUCUCAGGUUUGUCUGGCAUAUGGCUAUGGUUCCUAGACAGCGUAGUGUUUUCUUAAGGUUUUUCGUUAUCAUAGUUUGUUGAUCAUUCCAUCCUAGUAAAGGAUGUGAUGAUGGUAUGUAUUGAACUCUUGUGCUUUUGAUGUUUAAUGGUAAUAUUCUAUGGCAAAAAAAACUCCAUAAUCUAGCAAUCAUUACCUUUAUGACUUCGACAAAUACAGUAUAUGAAUCUCUGAUAUUUUUUUUUACCAUAUCUUGUUUUUAUCAUUUUUUAACUAUCUACUGAAUAAAUAUUUUAUUGUAUAUUUACUUUUAAGGAAUUCAAAAGUGAUCACAUAUUUUAUAUUGGAGAAAUCAAUUUUAAACCAGUAUCUGUACUUUUUAAAAAUAUUAUAUAUAAUAAUUCCUAUUUUAAAUUUUAAUAAUAUAUACUUUCAAUAAAUAAAUUUUAUUUUAAAAUUAUUUAUUCCCUCACUAGGAAAAUAUUCUAGAUCAUCCCCCACUAGAUAUGAGAACAUCGUAAAUGAAUACAUUUUACUGCUCGUGGGUUUGGAUAGUAAUAUGAUGGCUGGGUCAAAAAAAUAUGAUUGGGUUAAUAAGACAUGCCUGCUUCUUUUUUUUCAAUCUAUCUAUAAGAUGAAACUUGUAUGUUUUGUGGAAAAAUUAGGAAGAGUCACAUCGCCAAAAAACUUGACCACAUUCUUCUUAACGACUUGUGGCAGCUUAGCUUUCCUGUUUUGUAUACCCAGUUUGGAAACUCUUCAGUCUCAGAUAAUUCCCAAUGCUGCAUUGUACUUGGAAACAGAUCUCGCUCCAAAAAGCUGUUUAUGAUCAGACGAUGAGGGAAUCACCCAAAUAUUGUAGUAAUGAGUGCAUCAUGCACUCUAUAAAGACAAGAAGGACUCAAUGAAGACACAUGUUGUGAGUCAAGAACUCAACAUGUCGAGAGAUGCGGUGCAAUAAUCAUAAGUAUUCUAUUAAAUUGAUGCAGAGGUUGUAUCACAAUUACAAAAAGAAUAAACACAUGAUAUGUCUUUGAAGUAAAUUUUGACACCUAAGUCGUGAUUUAGCUUAGUGUGUAAUCAAUUAAAAGGAGAAAUGGUGACAUCAUAAUACAUAUCUUGUGGGCUGGGGGGGGGGAGAGAAGAGUAUAUCUCGUGGUGUGAUUGACGUCCUAAUAUGGAUAGUGCAUAUAUAUGUCAUUUGGGGAAAACAUAUAUAAUGAAGUAUUCUAUGUAUGAAAACAUGGUCAGUGAAAAAGAGUGGUUUUCCUUAAGUGGCAAACAAAACUAAAAUGAGGAAAUUGAAAAUGCAAGAAUGAGCUUGUAGAUUUUAAUUGUCUUGCAUUGAUGAAGUUAGUGACAUAGUUGCUGAUGCAAGUGUGCUAGUCAUUGUGCCAUGAUGCGAAAUGGAGGAGCCCUUUUAACAAGAUAUUAUGAACUGUAAAAAUAUGAACUUGAGAAGUAAGUCUAUGUCUUGAUGAAGUCGUUUGCAAAUGUUUCACUCAAUGUCCUAUGAACCAUGCGACAUGGAAGAGCCAUUUGGGAAAGAGAUUUUGAGCUGGAUGAGGUGUAUCAGAGUCACAUUUCUACAUUAUAACAAGAAAAUGAUAAAUUUAUGGAAAUGUCUUUAUGCUUUAAAGAUAAUAAAGGAUGAUAAUUCCAAAAAAAGUUGUUGUCUUUAUUCAUGGAUUCAUUGAUCAUAUGCCUACGGUUUUGAGAAAAAGUGGGGAAGACUAUGACAUAACCUAAGGAUUGAUGGUGACCAAGUAACACUUGGAUCUGAUUUUAUAAGAGAGUAAGAGUAUGAUUAAUGGGGGUUAUUAGGGUGAAGUUCUUAGCGGAAUAUAAGAAACCGUCUCUUAACUUUUAACUAAAAAAACUAAGAACCGGCUUUAAGAGCUUUUUUAGUUAAAAGUUAAGAGACGGUUUCUUAUAUUCCGCUAAGAACUUCACCCUAAUAACCUCCAUUAAUCAUGCUCUAACUCAAGGUUGAAUGUUAUUUUUGUUUGUCAACUGCCCAUUUAACUAGACCAAGUUUUGGCCAGACAAGACAUUUCUCCAAGGGGGCACCACAAUCUGAAUGUGUCUGAUCUAUAUGGGAGAAAAUAAUGUCUCUGGUUUAGCCUCUUUCGCUAAUGAGUCCGCCCAUCCAUUUCUGCUCCGGGAAAUAUGAAGCGGGCUCACAUUCUUAAAGUUAUCCUAUAGAUUCCAAAACUCAUUAAUCUCUGAAGUAAAUGUUGGCCAUUUCAUCAGGUGUGUAGUCAUAUCAACUAGAUUUGAAUAGUUGGUCUCGAAAAUGAUCGAGGAGAUCUUCAUGUCUCUCACACAUGAAGCUGCACAAAGUAAACAUUUCAUCUUAGAGUGUACGACCAAGAGGCUACUGUUACAUGCGCGAUCUGAAAGAUUCAGUACCCAUUUGAUCCUAAGCUUUCUAUGUAUUCGUUAAAAAUUUAAAAUAAAAAUGAUGAUGAUCAUAUUAUUUGAAUAUAACCCAAUUAAUAAGAAGAUGAAGGAGUAGAAGAUACAAUAUAAAAUUAGAAUAUAAUACUAGAUAAUUUAAAAAAACAAUAGAUUAAUAAAGUUUUCUAGGUUUAAGUUGAGGCCAUGCAAUAAAAAAAUCGAAAAUAUAAUAAGAUAAUGAGUUUUUGAAAAACCUUAUAAAAACAUAAGGUCCCAUAUAAAUAUAAAUUAAUAAUAAUUUUAAAUAAAAUUUAUAAAAAUAUAAAUAAAAAUAUUGUAUUUUUUUAUUCAUAGUGAAUGUUGGGCCUGAUUUCGGUCAAUCAAUGAUUGGGCCAAAGAUAACAACGGGAUCGGUUAAGAGAAGUCCGACCCAAUAUCAAGGAGAAGACGAAGUCAACACGUCAAAGCCGUGAUCCCGAAUAUCUAGGAGGAAAUUUUGGAGGCUCGGUAGCUAUAGCCUAUAAGACGAGAGAAGCGAUGAAGCAAAAGGACACAUGAAACCCUAGCGACUUAUACAAAACAUAUCGACCUCGAUCUUAAACUCUCUCUCAUUCUCACUCUCAUACUUUGUAUUCAAUCUUAGUUAUCCUUAAGUUAUAUUUCGAUCUCAUUUCACCAUUGUAUUCAUCAAAACUUUAUCAAUAAAAGUCCAUUUUAGUCAACCGGAAUCUGAUUAUAUCGUUGUGUUUUAAAGAUAUCGUUGUCCACAUUAUUUUCUUCCAUAAUCUUUACAAACAAUCAUUAUCAAAUACUGAGUGUGAGUUUUAAGAUCCACAAUGAAAUUUAUCUUUAAUUUUUCUAACCAGUUCAAAAUAUUUUGAUGUUAUUUUGUCAUUUACACCUAAAUUUAUUUAAAUUUCAUGAAUACAUUUUUAUACAUCAAAUAAUUUAAUAAAAAUAAUUAAAUUUUGUAUUUUAAUCAAUAUAUAUACCUUUAAAUAAAUUUUCUUCUUAUUUUUACAUAAAACGUAAUUCAAAAUUAUAUAAAAAUUCUAUAAAUUUAUAACUAUAUAAAUUAAUAAAAUAUCAUAGUUUCAUUUUAUUAAUUGAUAAUAUUUUUUGCUAUAUAUACUUUUGUUGAGUCAAAAUAUUUGAAAUAUUAUAUUGAUUUUUCAUCCAAAUAUUCAAGCCAAAUCAAUUUUUGUUACAUUUAGGUAUUUAAGUAUACUUUAUAUAAAUUUAUAUCUUCUAUCUUAUUUUAUUUUAGAUUUUGAAAAAUUUAAAAUAUUUCAAAAUAAUUUGAACUGGUUAUUUGAAUCCGAAAAGAUCCGAACAGAAACCAAGGGAGUGACUGGAAUGAACUGUAGAUUUAUAUUUUUGGUUGUAGAAUUUAAUCUGUAGGUUUAUUUGCCGUAGAUUAUUUUUCUAUAACUUUGUAAAACACUAUUUUUUUUUGGAAAUAAAACUCUCUACAACCAUAUUUUGCUUUUAUAGAGAUUAUUUUGCUGAGAGUUUAUAAAGAAAAAAAAAUUUGAUUGGUUGACAUAUAUAACUCUAAACUAAAUUUCGAAUGUCCUGAGUAUCUACGGCCGCAACCAAUCAUCCCAUCUCCAGAUCAAUAUACUUUAACAUAUCCAAACCGAACGCGUAUAGGCAGCCCUCAAUCCUAAGUAAAACUAAAACUUGACCCGCGCGACCGCGCGAGUAUUUAAUAUGUGUUUGUAUUUAAUGAUAUAUUUGUUAAUGUAGUCAUAUUUGUAAAUGUAAAUGUUAUAUUUGUACUUAAUUUUAUAUUUUAGCAUUUUAGCGUAAAAUGUAUCAACAAUAUUAGGUAUUAUAUAAAAAAUCUAACAUUUAUAUAAUAAGAUCCAUGUCUUAAAUAUAUAACGAACAAAUUUUUUAAAUAAAAAGUACGAAAAUAGACAAUUGUGAAUUAGCAUGCUAUUUAUAAAUGAAUCAUUAGCUAUAAUAUUUGUAAGAAAAUAAAAUGAUUGUUAAACUUCUAUCAAAUUUGGAAAAUAUACAAAUUAAGAUUUAAAUUUGUAAGAAAAAAAUUGAAAAUAAAAAUUUGAUGUAACUGAUAAGAAAUUAUAAAUGAGUUUAAAUUUGUGUACAUUUAAACCACGACCUUGCGGAUGUUUGCUUUUAUUUUUGUAAAUAAAUAUUUAUUUUUUCUAAGUGAUAAUAUGUAUUUUAAAAUUUUACGUGUGUUAAAUAAUUAUUUAAUAAGAUUUAUAAGCAUAAUAAUUUUAUAGUUUAUAUUUUUUUUAUUGUUUUUAUCUUGUAAACCGUCAAUUGUAUUACCACCAUUUUUAGAAUAUGAUCCGUGUAUCUAUACAAAUGAUUUAUUUUAUUUUAUUUUGGAUCAAAAUUUUAUGAGAAUGUCUAAUAAAUUAUUUUAUAUACAUGGUAAAUUUGUAAAUAAUUAUAAUGGUGCAUGUAAUAUAUUUAUAUUGGUAAGAAGAAGAAUUUGUUCAAGAAAAAAAGAAGAGUAACGUGAAUUGUGGGGGAGAAUGAGACAAAAUUUAACUUAUAUUGUUACAUAAAUAUUUUGUAUAUAUUAUUGAUAUUCAUUAAUGUUUAUAAUAUUAAUAUUACAUAGAUAAGUUAAAAGUUUUAUAUUGAAUUGAUUGUGAAUUUAAUUUAGGAAAUGUUUUAUUAAUUUUGAAAAAGACAUGGAAAGCAUAGAAUUAGGAGUAAUUAUUACUUAAUUAAUUUUGAAAAAGACAAAAAUUACUUAAAAAUAGGUUCAUUUAAUUAUUUCAGUGGCAUUAAGUUGUAAAUAUGGUGCAAGUUUAAGGUUAGUCUUGCUUCGUUUUAAUAGAUUAAGAUUAGAUGGUUGUUAAGGAAGGGCCCAUUAUGAUAAAGGAAAUGGGCUUAAGAAAGGCGGUCAGAGGCAUAAAUAUAGGUGGCAUUAUCGGGGAAGAAGCCCCCAUAACCCAGAAAUUGGACGAUCAAAAUCUCUGAAAAGAUCUUGCUUGUGAAUCCCUAGCUCCCCCACCCCUCUCGGAUCGCCAUGUCGAUGACUCCGUCCAAGGUCGCCGGCCAUACCCGGUUCUUACUCGAGCACUUUAAUGAUUCCGAUGUCGACUCAAUCGCCCAAGAGAUCUGUCAGGUAGCCUCUCUGUUGCUUUCAAGUGGCUGUCUGCUUCUUAUUUUCUUAUAAUUAUAAUUUAGAUUAUAUCCUCUGUAUUUGGUCGAGUCCCUACGCCGUGCUCUCAGAUCAGCAAAGUUCAAUCCCUAGGAGAAAUGCCCUUUUGAGUUUCGUUUUGCUUUGCUUGUUCAUUUUUGGCAGUUGGUUGAUUAUGGUGUUGAGGCAAGCAUCCCAGUGCUCAAGACGUGCGUAGAUUGCUUCACCGUCCGGAGAAGCCACCCUAAUACGCUGCAGCUUGAGAAGCUGUUAGCCUUGGUCUUCAAACGUGUCCUCAAAUUGUCUAAUCUCGGAACCCUGCUUUCUCACGCACUCCAAGAUGCUGACGUCACUCCAGAAUUCGUUCAUGAUUUGGCAACUGCAUUGGGCUUUUCAGUCUCUGAUAAGAUUACCUUUGCUCUGGCCCUGGUCGAUUUUGAAACUUCUCAUGCUAAGACUAGUGGUAAAAUAAGAUAUCAUUUUGAGCUUUAUUCUUCCCAUUCUCCUCCUUAAUGAUCGUUUUUUUUUUUGCAGGACGAAACUUAUUAUUGGCGGAGAUUGAGCAACUCUGUGCUAACAAUGGCCAGAUUGAGUCAACUGAGCAAAUUCAGAACGUUGUUUUGUUUCUCCAGACAUCCGAAGACCUCUCCGGGCAUUUGGAGUCCUUCCUACAGCUUCUGUCUUCCUCUCAACCUAGAGAUGACUUGUCUUUUGCACUUACGCCUCUCCUUUCUCAACACAGGUGUGUGGCUUUCCUCUCUUAUCUCUUUUCCGGUCCAUUUGUUCAGAUUGUAAGACUCUAAGCUUUUCUCUUGUGAUGUAGGAGCAUUGAUUCUGCUGAGAACGACUAUGAUGCUAUCCUCACUGAAAUCGAUAAGGAAAUUGCUGUUGGAGAUCUCAUUGGAGAAUUAGGCUGUGGUUUCACUGCUGAUGCCCAACAAUGCAAACAGCUCUUGUCUAGUUUCGCACCCCUAAGAGAGGCUACUAUCUCAAGAAUUCUUGGUCAUGUGGCUCGUACCUCUGCUGAUCUUGAAGAUAAUCACACCACCUUUUCAACAUUCAGUCUGGCCGUUGGUUGCUGCAUUCCAACUGAUCUGCCCACGCCAACGUCGUGGAAUGUUGAUAUCUUGAUUGAAACAAUCAAGCAGCUUGUAAGUCAUCUUAAACCCUAGUUUAUACUCUGUUAAAUCAAUAUCGUUUAUAUCUUCAAGACUUCCUUUCAGUAUUUAUAUUAAUCCUUUUGUGACUAGUGUGCAUAAUCAUCUUUUUUUUUAUCAAUGGAUUUAAUGAAUCAUGUAGGUUACUGGUUCAUUUUUAUUUGGUUCAUGCUUUUAAGUUUUUCUGCUAAAGCAGGCUCCUGGCACAAGCUGGAGGAAAGUAAUCGAGAAUCUCGACCAUAGUGGAUUUGACAUCGCUAAUAUGGAGUCUUUCUCGUUUUUCAUGCGACUAUAUAAAACUGCUUGCAAGGUGUGUUCUCAUACUCUCUAAUUUGACUGGCCACUUCCACUGUUGUAGUGUUGUUUGAGCGUGUUAAACUGAUUAUUGCAGGACCCAUUUCCUCUUGAUGCUGUAUGUGCUUCUGUCUGGAACAAUAUGGAAGGUCAAUUAUCCUUUCUUAAGCAUGCAAUAGCAGCUCCACCAGAAGUAUUUACCUUUACGCAUUCUCCAAGGAAGCUGGUGAGAUACCACACGUCUGUGAGCUGUUCGUUCUUGAUACUGCCACUAUUCUGACCUUCUGUUUUCCAGGCAUAUAUUGAUAAUAUCAUGCACAGCCAUGAUCAACAAUUAGGAGUUUCCAAUCAAGCAUGGCUCUCUCUUGAUCUCUUAGAUGUACUCUGCCAACUGGCCGAGAGAGGUCAUACUGUUUUAGUUAGUUCGAUGCUCCAGUAUCCACUCACACAUUGUCCUAAAACAUUGCUUCUUGGAAUGACUCACGUCAAAGUAACUUUCCUUGACUGGUGUUUGGUGUUGUAUGCUCGUAACCUUGACUUUUUUCGUUUGGCUAAGUAUGAUAACCCUUUGUUGUAGACCGCCUAUAAUCUCAUCCAGCGAGAGGUGGUAUCUGCUAUUCUUCCAGUGCUAAUAACGAAUUCCCAGGAUAGUGGUUUCAUUCUCAAGCUCUGGCAUCAGAAUGCUGAGCUCGUUCUGUGGGGGAUUUUAAAUGCCCAAAAUCUUAAAUCAGACGGCAUACUCAGAAUAAUUGAAAUCUUCCAUGAGCUUAAGGUGACAAUGUUGUAUUAAAAAUUUGUGACAGUUACAUAUGAUUUGUUCCUUACAUUAGAUUCUCUGUACCUAUGAACUAAUCAUUGUGGUUUUAAUUUCAUUUCAGAUUUUCUCUGUUGUUUUAGAAUCAGUUCCAGUCUCAUUCAGCAUCAGAUUGGCAGUCCUUGCCUCACUGAGAGGCUUUUUGGACAUUGAGAACUGGUUGCCAAACUGUCUGUAUGUGUAUAAGGACCUCUUUGCUGAGGUAACAUAUUUUCUCACAGUUAAAGUUCUAUUACUGUAAUAUUUUUAGGGAUGAGGAUCGUAUCUAACAUUUAAAAUUAAUGUUUUUCCAUCUUCAGGAGUGUCUCAAAUUUGUCAAGUAUGUGCAUUUUAGCGAAUCAGAGGAUUUUACUUCCAAGCAUUUUCAUCCUUCGGAUCCUUUAUCAGAUCUUCAUUUGGAUGCAACGACUUUGCUUUUGAAAGUUAGUUAGGAUCCUUUAUUUGGCUAGUCUGUUGCUUCAUGUCUAUUGGGAUUAAUUUGUUCGAACAUUAUUCCAGGUUUUGAAAGCUCAUGAUAAUGUGAUUACUUCAUCUCAACUAGUCGAAGAGAUGGAAAAGGUCAAUUCAGCAAUCUUGGAUUGUAAUUCGAAACUGCAGAAUGGGGAGGCUAAAGAUUCCUCAGUUCCCAGUCCAUACGGAGAAGAUGUUGAGGAGGAAGCCAACGCUUAUUUCCAUCAAAUGUUUUCCGGUCAGUUGAGUGUUGAUGCAAUGGUUCAAAUGCUAUCUCGAUACAAGGAGUCUUUGGUUCAAAGGUUUGAUAAUGGCAAACUAUACAUUGUUGAUAUUUAAUUUAUCAUGUCAAGUUUGCCAGCUUCACAUUCAAAAAGAAAAUCAUGAUUUUAUGUUUGACAGGGAAAAAUCAAUUUUUGAAUGCAUGAUUGCUAAUCUGUUCGAGGAGUAUCGUUUUUUCCCCAAGUAUCCCGAGAGGCAGUUGAAAAUAGCUUCCGUCCUCUUUGGUGAGUGGGUCUUCUAUAGGAUGUUUUACUUUAUGUAGUGGGAGGAUGCCGUAAUUUAGUUUGUUCAUGCUAUUGUGUCUAGUCCUCAACCAGGGCAACCACUUGCCAAGUUUGUUAUGCAAAAUGAUGAUGUUUCAGAAUAAUUUCUUGAAUUUGAAAAUUACCAGUGAUAUGUUAUUUGAGCAUCUCUUCUUCGAUUCUGUUUCGACCUGUACAAAUUUCAGGUUCUGUUAUUAAGCACCAGCUUGUUAGUUCCAUCACACUGGGGAUGGCACUGCGUCUAGUCUUGGAUUCUUUGCGUAAGCCUGCAGAUUCUAAAGUAUGGAUUUUGUUGUGAAUUUAUUCUGUCUGCCGGCCUUUUUUUUCACUGUAAGAGAUCUGUCAUCUUCUUUCUUUCCUGAUUCCUGCAGAUGUUUCUGUUUGGAAGCAAAGCCCUGGAACAGUUCGUGAAUCGUCUUGUUGAAUUGCCUCAGUACUGCAACCAUAUUUUGCAAAUAUCUCAUCUGCGUAGUACUCAUCCCGAGUUAGUCGCUGUUAUUGAACAAGCACUUUCAAGGAUAUCAUCUGGUAAUUUGGAAUCAGAUGCUUCGUUUUCGCACCCUGGUCCUUCACAGUCUCUCCCUGGAAAUGGCGAGGUAUAAUGUUGAUAUAAAAGUAUAAUGUUGAUAUAAAAGUUUUCUUUUGACUGUCUACGCGCCUGAAGGUCUAUUUUGAUAUCUUCUUGUCAGUACUUGUCUUGCCGUUCUUAGGUAUUUUAAAAAUCGCUAGAGUUAUCUAUUGAAAACGGGAAGAAAUGCUUUAUCUUUUCUAUUUCCAUUCUCAUGAAAAUGUUUAGGUCAGCUCUGCAGCAGUUAUAUAGAUACUAUAAACUUCUCGUUGUCUCAAUAUCUUUCUUGACCGUAAAUUGACUUCCAGAACUAAGGCGAAAAGGAAAUUAACACAUUGUUUCUGUUUUUUUUUUAAAUAUUGUCAGUUUAGUGUUUCUGGAAUUGGCCAGUCUCCACUCCAACUUCCUUCUCCUGUACAGCCUCAACAGAAAAAUGAAGUGCAUAUUGAUGACCGCAGCAAAGUGCCAAGUGUGCCAUCUAUCGAAACAAAGCCACUUCUGCCCUCGUCAUCUAGCAGUUCUGCUGAUGUUUCUGUCAUUCCUAAGGUGAUUGCCUUCUCUUCUGUUUUCUUAUAGGUGGGUUGAGGAGUUUGUAAUCUUACUAGUAAUCCUUGCAGAAUCCUGGCAUUUCGACUUCUUCAUUGACCUCAGCUGGUUUUGUUCGUCCAGCUCGUGGAGCCACAUCAACGAGUAAUCUCUAGUCGACUUAAUUUUAUAACUAUUCUUUUAAAAAUAUGAUAGAAAAUAUAGUUGUGUUCCUAUGGAGAGAAGAAAUAAUUUUAAUACUCGAUUAUCACAGGGUUUGGCUCUGCUUUGAACAUAGAAACCCUGGUUGCAGCAGCAGAGAGAAGGGAAAACGCAAUAGAGGUACCUUCUAUGCUGUGCAUCUAGUUAGCUGUGCAUACAUUUUGAAUUAUUCGCUUUUGGUUACAUUGCAUAAUGAAUUGUCAGCAUGCCAGCUGUCUACUAUCUAGUAUGAAUAAUAAGAAUAAGUCUUUCUUUUCAGGCUCCACCUUCAGAUGUCCAGGACAAAAUAUCUUUCAUAAUCAAUAAUAUCUCUAUAGCUAACAUUGAAUCUAAAGGGAAAGAGUUCGCUGAGAUUUUAUCUCAACAAUACUAUCCUUGGUUCGCACAGUAUAUGGUUAUGAAAAGGUACGGAUGGUUGUCUUUUAUGUUUGCAGUUUAUGUGAGGUUUCCUGUGUGCUCUUCUUAUUGUUUUCCUGCGUGUGUUAAAUUCCUGAUAGAGCGAGCAUCGAGCCCAAUUUUCACGAUUUGUACUUGAAGUUCUUGGACAAAGUUGAUUCCAAGCUGUUGUUUAAGGAGAUACUCCAAAAUACAUACGAAAAUUGCAAGGUAAUGAUUUGUUGUGAUGGGUGUUAUUUCUGUUUAGCAAUUUUUUCACUUCCUUACAUUCUUUGGUUGUGCAGGUUCUGUUGGGUUCAGAGCUCAUAAAGUCAAGUUCUGAAGAGCGAUCUCUGCUUAAAAAUUUAGGCAGCUGGCUUGGAAAGUUAACGAUUGGAAGGAAUUAUGUUUUAAGGGCGCGAGAAAUUGAUCCAAAAUCCUUGAUUGUGGAGGUUCUUGCUUCUAUUUCCUUCAAACUUGUUAUUUGUAGAUAAUGAAGUUUGUUUCUCUUCUCCAUUUGCAGGCGUAUGAAAAAGGGUUGAUGAUAGCAGUCAUUCCAUUCACUUCGAAGGUUGGUGAUGGUUGACUAUUUUUCCUAGCUGUUACAGGGUUGAUGUCCUGAAUUCUAAUUUUCGGUUACUGCAGGUUCUGGAGCCAUGCCAAAACAGUAUUGCGUAUCAGCCUCCCAAUCCUUGGACAAUGGCUAUACUCGGGUUGCUUGCUGAGAUUUAUUCGAUGCCAAACCUAAAAAUGAAUCUGAAGUUUGACAUAGAGGUAUCUGUUUUAGUAGUGAAUUUAGAAAGACGAUUGUUCCUCUUGAGAAGCAACGAGUUGUUUUACAUCUUUUUUCUGCGUGUAUUCAGCGUCUUAUUCUCUUCUUUCUGUUCAGGUUCUAUUCAAGAACCUUGGUGUUGAUUUGAAAGAAGUAGCGCCAACUUCCCUUCUAAAGGAUCGGAAGAGAGAAAUAGAUGGGAAUCCUGAUUUUAGUAACAAAGAUCUUGGAGUAGCACAUAUAUCUCAGUCCCAGAUGAUCUCGGAGCCUAAAACAAUUUCUCCUCUUAAGCAAAUAGAUCUACUUCUUGAUGUUGCAAAUUCAUCUAAUACAGACGCUCCCUCGCAGUUAUUGUCACAGGUUACUUUUUGUUAUUGACCUAUAGUGUCAGUCUUUAGUUAUGAAAAAUAUUUAGCUCCUUGCCUUUUCUUUUCAGUAUGUAGCCCCUCAACGUGCUUAUACUAAUACUUCGGUGGAAGACGAAAAAGUUGUAACUCUAGGCUUGUCUGAUCAGCUCUCGUCCCCACAAGGACCGUUCCAGUCGACUCCUCCCUUUUCUGUUAGCCAGGUAUGAUUAUCAUUCUAUGAAUGUCGAUCAAAGAUUCAAAGUUAUUGGUUCAAACUGCUUCAACUAUUGAUAUGAUGGUCAGCAGCUGUCAGCAGCACUUCCGAACAUUGGAAAUCUUGUUGUUAUCAAUCAGAAAUUAAGCGGAUUUAGUAAGCACUUUCCAUUUCAGAGGUUUGUGACUAAUGGUCUCCUACUGGUGAAAUCAUUAUGUAUGUAGUGCAUUGAAGGUAUUUUAUUUGACAUUCUAAACUUUUGUUCAUUGUCAGAGUGGUACCACUUGCCAUGGACAGAGCCAUCAAGGAGAUUGUGUCUGGUGUUGUUCAGCGAAGUGUUUGUAUUGCUUGCCAGACAACAAAAGAGCUUGUGCUCAAGGUAAGGCAAUCUGAACUUGCCUGCCUUUCUUUUAGCUUCUUGUUUCGAAUACUUUCCUUAUCCCCAUUCGUUUUCCAUCAUCUUCACUCCACAGCUAAAAUUAUUUGCUUCCCAUCUAUCACAAGCGUCAGUUUCUAGAUCAGUUUUGCAGUAUUGCGUGUAUAGUUUGUUGCAUCUCUUGUUUUCUAAAGCAAACAAUCUCCUGGUUUUAAUCCUGUAUAUUUAUCGUACCUUCAUUUUCUUCUUGAACUCCAGGAUUAUGCCUCGGAACCAGAUGAGACACGUAUAUAUAAUGCAGCUCACUUGAUGGUUGCUAGUUUAGCUGGGAGUUUGGCUCAUGUGACGUGCAAGGUUUUUCCUGCUUAUGAGGCUUUGAUUCUUAUGCUAUAAUAUUCAACCAGCUCUGUUUUUCCUUUCUGAUUUUUGUGCAUUCUCUGGUAUUUGUAGGAACCCCUGCGCACUUCAAUUUCGGGUCAUCUACGUAAUUCGCUACAGGGUCCGAAUAUUAAUAAUGAAGCUCUUGAACAAAUUGUUCAACUUGUCACCAAUGACAACCUUGAUUUGGGUUGUGCUGCCAUUGAGCAGGCGGCUACAGAGAAGGUUUGUGUUAGAUAUUAGAUCCCGAUUUUCUGUUCCAUCUUUUAGCUUAUUUUAUUUUUAAAAUAAACGGAAUAGAGUGCAGGCACUUCCCUUUACUGAGGAGAAAGCCUUCUUGUUACUUCUUUGUCUAUGGAUGAGCCUCCCUUUUAAAGUUUAGUCAUAUAUUUAUGUCCGUGCCCGUACAGGCAAUACAAAAUAUUGAUGCGGACAUUGCCCAGCAAUUAUCGUUGCGGAGAAAGCAUAGAGAUGGUGUUGGGUCCUCCUUUUUUGAUCCAAACAUGCGAACGCAAAAUUCUGGCAGUUUUAUACCUGAGUCCCUCAGCCCAAAACCGGGACAAUUGUCCCUUUCUCAACAGCGCGUUUAUGAGGUACUGUUUUGAACUGUUAGUUGCCUAUGUUAUAUUUUGUAUUUGUAUAACUAAGCGAUACAUGUACAUUUUUAGGACUUUGUUCAACUUUCUUGGCAAAAGCAGUCAGCCCAAACUUCACACGGUUUAUCCGUUGCUUCAAGCUCAUCCGGCGAUGUUGGGCUUGGUAAUGGUUAUGGUCCAGUAUCAGGAAAAAAUGCUUCGGACUUCGAGUCUAGUGCUGGAAAUGAUCGGACGGAUAUGGCCUACCGGGCAUCAGAUACUUCUAUGGAGGGUUUUCAAUCCUCUCCAAUUUCACUUUUAAGGUGCUUUGCUGUCGCAUAUGGAUAAAACUGUUUACAUUUCUUCUCUCGUUCUGCACAGCUGAUAUGUUGACAUUUUCAUCUUGCCUCUAUCCAAAGCUCACAAGUUGAUCCAGCAGCCGGUCUUCAAUUCUCUAAAUCCCUUUCGACCUCUGAAUUGAGCCUGGUUGAGUCCUCCGAGGCCGCUAUGAAAGUGAGAGUACUGUCUUUUUUUUUUCAGUUUUUGACUCCUUGGGUUAAUAUUGAAUUACUAAGUUGUGCUUUCUAUUUAUACACAAGGAAACUGGAUCAUCAUUGCAAACGUUGACUUCAUCUGCUACCAUGGAGCGUCUUAUUGGAAAUAAUACUCCACAGCCUUCUCUGUCCACGAGAGAUGCAUUGGACAAGUAUCAUAUUGUUACUCAGGAGGUUAGUACAAUAGCAAUUAUGUUUUUUGAAAACCAAUUUUGGGGUCUCUAUAUCGCAUGUGAUUGACUUCUUUAACCUGUUUCAGAUGGAGAACUUAGUGGCUAAUAAUGCAGGAGAUGAUGAAAUUCAGGUACUUGAUUUCCUAGUGCCUAAGUGGUUGUAGUGAAGUAUCGUUUUCCAUUUAUGCUCACCUAGAAGUAAUGGAAUCAUGAGUUAAUGUUUUAAACCUUUUUUAAUUUAUGCAAAUGGUUAUUGUGGUUUCAUCUGAUGUCAAAUUAAAUAAUGAUCUCAUUGAUUUUCCAGGCUGUAGUUUCUGAGGUUCCUGAAAUCAUCCUCAGAUGUAUAAGCAGAGAUGAAGCAGCGUUAGCUGUUGCUCAAAAAGCUUUCAAGGCUCUUUAUGAGAAUGCAUCAAGUAACCUUCACAUCAGUGCUAACCUAGCAAUUCUUGUGGCUAUUCGUGAUGUUUGCAAGCGUGUUGUUAAAGAGCUCACUAGUUGGGUAUGUCAACGACUUGUUCAAGAUCCAAGUAUUCAUUUACUUUACUUCAUACUUCAUAUGUGCUUUAAUUUCAGUUGCUUCUGAUAUUUCUCCAAAUAUGCCUGUAUUUCCUGGCAUAUCAAAUCAUAUAAGUAGUAGAUUAUCUCCCAUAGUGGAGCUACUGAUAAAAUAUAUGACGUGAACUUUCUUGAAACUUAUGAGAAUUUUUUCUGGGAUUUCCAGUUAUGCUUAUGUAACUUUCUUGAAACUUAUGGACACAGGUGAUUUAUUCAGACGAGGAACGGAAGCUCAACAAAGAUAUUACUAUUGGUCUUAUCCAACGCGAGUUGCUUAACCUAGCGGAGUACAAUGUCCACAUGGCGAAGCAUCUUGAUGGAGGGAGAAACAGUAUGCUGAACAACAAAUAUUUGUGUGAUUGUAUUUUCAAAAAAGUUGUAAAUGAAAGUUGCUAAUUAUUUGUUUGCUGUGCAGAGAGCGCCACUGACUUUUCUAUUUCUCUACUCCAAUGCCUGGUCACUGAGAAGUCGAGUGUCAUUUCAGAGCUACAUAGCCUUGUUGAUGCACUGGCCAAGGUUACAAUUUUAACUUUAUCCGGCGGUUGCUAUUGCAUUCUUGCAUAUUCUUUUUCAGUUCUACGAUUAAUAAGACCUCUUCUAAAUAAUGACAAUUAAUAGGUGUGUCAAAACACAACUUGGGAUUAUGUUAAAAAAAAAACCUUUUUUUGCUAAACUGACAGAUCGUGAUCGUGUUUAGGUUAACAUUUUGUCUGGAUGUUAUAUUUUGCAUGUUUAAGAAAUUGGCGUUAUCACAUGGUGACCUUGCGCAUUUGUUUUCCUUGUUUGGCUGUAGCUUGCGGCAAAAUCUGGAUCUCCUGUCUCGUUGCAACAACUCAUUGACAUCAUACGAAAUCCGGUUACUAACACAAGUGGUCUCAGUGAUAGUGCAACUGAAAACGAGAUCAAUGAUAUGCAAUCAAAGGAUGAAAAGGUUUGAAAUGAUUUCAUUACCCAUGUUGCUUGUAAUCACUCUGUAAAUUCAUUUGCCAUGUUGGCUCUGUUAUCAGGUUGUAUGCAAUACCAUCGCUAACACAGAAGAUAAUACCAGCUUUGAAUAUGUGGAAUCAGGUUCUACGGAUUUCCGGAAACGGGUAAUUUUUCUGCAUGUUACUAGCUUGAAGAAUUUUGCAUUUUUUCUUGAAAUUGGGAAUUGCAUAAACCUAAAAAUUUUCACUUGCAAAAGAGUAAAUCAAAAGCUGAAAUGUUUGCCCCAGCACAAUCAAGUUGCAGGCUAUAAAUAACGAUUUGUGUUUCUGUGUAGCUACUAUCAUCACUAAAUUUUCAUGUUUUUCUUCAUAACGGUUGUGAUGUGUGUAUAUGAAAUAUAAUUUCCACGAUAAUGCUAUUUUCUCCAUUAAAUAUAGAUAUAUGUGUUUACUUAUCUCUUCAGUUCUAUGUUUGAUACAAACAUCUCUUGUAUGUGUUUUUCAUCUUCUUCUUUUCUUGGGAUGGUUCGGCAGGUGUCCACGCUUUUUAAAAACUGGUAUCAAGUCUGCGAAGUUUCGGGUGCAAAUGAAACCGCUUGUUCAGAAUAUGUCUUGCAUUUGUAUCAGACUGGACUACUUAAGGGAGACGAUACAACAGAGAGUUUUUUCCGAAUUCUUCUGGUGAUUUUAACCUUUUAAGUUUUCUUAGCAUCUACUUUUUUUAAAAUUUUGAAAGACCUAAUUAUUUAUUUGAUUGUUCUGUUUAGGAACUUUCUGUUGCUCAUUGUAUAUCUUCUGAAGAAAUUAGCUCUGGUGCUGUGCAAUCUCCUCAGCAAGCUCAGAGUCCAUCAUUCCUUAUCAUCGAUAUUUUUGCAAAGCUUGUUUUUUCGAUCUUGAAGGUAAGUGCUCAUGAGUUUUUUUUAUGUCGGGCAGCGCGGAUGAGUAAGCCCAAGAUUCAUUGCCGGCUAAGUUGUUUUCUUUUGUUUUGUAUUUAUUCAGUAUUUCCCUGAACAAGAGUCUAGCAGCAAGUUUUUUCUUCUUUCGGAGGUUAGGGGGACACCUUAACUUAAAAUAAAUUCGACUUUUAGUAUUAUUGGUGGAAAAAGUGAGUGGGUUUGAUAUUAAUUACUGGUUGCAGAUCAUGGCUGUCACUGUGAGAUCUAUUCAAAAGGACGCAGAAGAUAAAAAGGCAUCACUCAGUCCAAGACCAUAUUUUAGAUUGUUCAUCAACUGGCUGCUGGACUUAUGUUCCCUGGAUCCUGUGACUGAUGGUGCAAACUUUCAGGUGCGUGCGUGCGUUUUCUUUUCCUUUGAAGUAGUUGCUAUUUAUUGCUAUCACUAACAUCCAUCGUUUAUUUCAGGUUCUAACAGCUUUUGCUAAUGCAUUCCACGCAUUGCAGCCUCUGAAGAUUCCCGCUUUCAGGUUAGAACAGAACGCUUUUUCAUUAAAAGUGGAAAUUCCUGUGUCGUCGAAUGAGAUUCAUGUGGUUAACAUAUGUAUCUUCUUUUCUUUGGUUGAUCAAAUUGUGUGUUUUAUAUUAUUUUUUUUUUCAGCUUUGCAUGGUUAGAGCUGGUCAGCCACAGAAGUUUCUUGCCCAAGCUACUUACAGUAAAUGGACAGAAAGGUUGGCCAUAUGUUCAACGCCUGCUGGUAGACUUACUCCAGUUUCUUGAGCCAUUUUUGAGAAAUGCGGAACUCGGAGGACCGGUUUGUAGCUUUCUUCUUUCUUUGUAAUGCAUAUGCAGUAAAACACUGAGGAUGGUAACUUAAAAGUGGUUUGUAUGCAGGUUCAUAUCCUAUAUAAAGGGACGCUGAGAGUGUUGCUGGUGCUGCUUCAUGACUUCCCAGAGUUCCUCUGCGAUUAUCAUUUUACUUUCUGUGAUGUGAUUCCUUCAAGUUGCGUACAAAUGCGAAAUAUUAUACUAAGUUCUUUUCCACGGAACAUGAGGCUUCCAGACCCAUCUACCCCAAAUUUAAAGGUUUAAGAUUUGAUUGAUAGUGCUGCAGCAUAUGUUCAUUAUUUAUUUGUAAAGCUGAUAUAUAUCUUGUUAACUGCAGAUUGAUUUGCUGCCUGAGAUAGUAGAAGCUCCGUGUAUUCUAUCUGAGGUUGAUGCUGCGCUAAAAGCAAAUCAAAUGAAGAAUGACGUGGAAGAGUAUCUCACUGUAAUAGAUCAUCUGAUUCUUCAUUUGAAUUAUGAUUUCUCCCUUUGGCAGGAUUAAAUAUACCAUUAUAUUAUUUUGCUGCAGUCGAGGCAACAUGAUACAACUUUCCUAAGUGAGUUGAAGCUGAAGCUACUUGUCUCGUCCAGCGAGGCUAGUUCAGCUGGAACUCGUUACAAUGUACCAUUGAUCAACUCGCUGGUGUUAUAUACUGGAAUGCAGGUAUGGUUCUGACAUUACUAAUACUGGAAUGCAGCCUUAGUUUUUACUAAAAGGAAAAUAAAUGUAUAUUCUUCUUACAGGCUAUUCAGCAGCUACAACAGGCGGGUGAGACAGGGGCUCAAAAUGUGGUGGCCUUGCAUAUGUUCAAGUAUUUAAGUGUGGAGCUUGACACAGAAGGGCGGUAUCUGUUCCUAAAUGCAAUCGCCAAUCAGCUUCGAUAUCCAAACAACCACACUCAUUACUUCUCCUUCAUCAUGCUCUAUCUCUUCUUGGAGUCUGACCAGGUGGUCAUACAGGAGCAGAUAACAAGAGUGUUGCUGGAAAGGCUAAUUGUGAACAGGCCGCAUCCAUGGGGACUCCUGAUAACGUUCAUAGAGCUCAUAAAGAAUCCAAGGUAUGGCUUCUGGAAACAUGGCUUCAUCAGGUGUGCUCCUGAGAUUGAGAAACUCUUUGAAUCGGUGGCCAGAUCAUGUGGUUGUCUCAAGCCCCUUGACGAGGGAAUUGUCUCCGCCGGGUGGGUCUCGGAAAACUCUCAUUAGCUUUUUCAAUUUCGUAUUAUGAAUAUGUAUAUGCAUCAUUCAUUCCAUUUGGGAUUAUGUUGUAACAAUAGAUUAUAUGCAUUUUAUUUAGUUUAUUAAUUUAUGUCAAAAUAUCACCGAAAACUUUUUAGUUUUGAAAAUGUAAACAUGUUGAAGUUUAGUUCUACCUUCACUUCUGGGAGUUAUUCGUUAAAGAUAAUUGAUGGGGCAGUUACAUAUUUAUUCUUAUUUGAAACACGUGUUAAGUAUUGGAAACAAAAAAGAAACCUCCUCUAUAACUACUCGUCUAUCGUGGGAGAUAGACUCACCCUUGAAAUCUAUUUCCACCUCAUUUCUAAAACCCACUACAUUCCUUAGCACCUCUGUCUCUGUAACGAUGUAUCUUCCCCUAUGUUUACUAUAUAUAUUUGAGACUAUUUUAUACUCAUGGUUUAUUGUUGUUGUUCUAAUUCACAAAUAAGACAAACAAUAAAAGAGUGUGAAAGUUUGUGUGUUUCAAUAAACAUAUAUUGCUUCAGAAGUAGUCACACAACAACAAUUAUAUAUUUUACUUAUGCUGUGUUCAAUGAGCUCAUCUUUCAACAGAAAGCGUUAUGACUAGUUUGGUUUUGUCUUUUCUUCUUUCGGAUCUCCCAUGCAGCUUCUCAAUAUAUAUGGAAAUACACUACUUAGAUGCUUUAUCUUGUAUAGGUGUUAGCUAACCACGCCUUGAACAUAAUUCAACAAGAGGUUCAGGUAAGCAAGAAGACACAAUUGAAAAUAUAUAAUAUAAUCCAAAAUAUAACAAAAAUACAUAAUUUUCUAAAAUAAUUAGGAAAUAUUCAUAAGAGUAAAAUAAUAAAAUUCAUUUAUGAUAUUGUUUUUCACUUUUCACCAAACCAAAAUCAACAAUUUUUUUUUGUCAAUUUAAACUAUUUUUCCUUUUUGAUCACUAAACUCAAAUCAAUAGAAAUUGACAAAAAAAUUGAAGAAAAACCAUAAACAGAAAAUAAUACUUAAUCAAAAUUAUGUUUUAAAAUACAAUAAUCAAAAACAGAAAGUAACAAGACAGAAAUAAAACAGUAACCAAAACAAUUGUUCUUAUUAUAUAAACAAGAAAUCUAAAGUAAUUUCAUCCAAAUAAUUGUGUAAAGUUACAAAAUAAACUUAUGUCAUAAAUUCCAAAAAAAUCAUCAAGCACAAUAUCCUCCUUAGAAGAAGAAAUGUUUAUACGCGUAGCGCGACCUGCGAUUAAGAUUACGUUUGUUUACGUGUCGCGUGACUUGCGACUUGCGACUAAACCUGCGACCUGCGACUAAAACUAUGUUCGUUUACGUGUCACGCGGCCUGCGAUCUGUGACCUGCGACCAGUCGCGCGAUCAAAAUUUUCUUAAUUCUUAGUCGCUGUUUUUUCGGGCGACUUAAAUGGGAACCCGCGACUGGUCGCGCGAUCAGUCGCGCGACAUCAAAACGAACAACAACCUGCGACUUGCGACUUGCGACCAAUCGCAGAUCGCAUGUUACGCGACAGCAAAACGAACAACAACCUGCGACCUGCGAUCAGUCGCAGGUCGCAUGUCGCAGGUCGCAGGUCGCACGACAUGUAAACGAACACGGCCUAAGAUCCCACAUAACUUGGGUUCGAUGACCACCUGCGACCUCUUUAAUUGUUUUUGAAACCAGUCUAAUUCACUCACGGGUCUGCCACCGAGCAGAGUGAGCUGCUUACUGAAAUGUAAAAUCAGUUUGAUAAAUUAUUGCAUCAGUCCAAACAUCUUAACUUCCAAAGGCUUGGUAAAGUCGUAUGGACAAAUUCGUUAAAUAUCUUAUUUGGGUAUUUGUUGUGGUUCACUUGAGUUGUUAUAACCUUUAAAAGAAUUGUUCCAUUAUAUUUGAUAAAUUAAUGGAUAGAUGUAGACUUGGCAAAAUAUUAAGUAGCGCAAAGGUACAAUGUUGGUCCAAUAAUCAACCAUAUACUAAAACCCAAACCCCACAGAGGAAAGCAAAAGAGAUCUUCAAUUAACAUAGAAAAUGGAAACAAAUGUAAAAUAUGACUGAUAAGACUAAUAUAGAGACACAAGAGAGAAUCUUCUAUUCAUAACAACCUACUAGAUAUACUAUCUUCCUUGCAUUACACCAAAUAACCAACAACAACAACAACAAAACCUAGGAAGAUUGGAUCUUUUCUUCUACCAAUUCCAAAUAUCUGCUCUAACAUUUCUUGAUUUUAAUUCAGGAUUGUCCAGAAGCAGAGCUUGAUGGACAAAGAUUCUUGUCAUUGUUUGAUCCACUAGGGUUCUUAGUUUUGGAGAGUUUCUGUUUGAGUUGAAACAAAAGCUGUUGGUUCUCUUGAUUCAGAAGCUCAGCUUUCUUCCUUAGCCUCUCAUUCUCUCUCAUUAUGUAACAGUUCUCCACGUAUAGCUUCGAGUUUAGCCUCUCCAUUGCUGGCUUUCUUUCUUCAAGAAACCAAAAAAAAAUUAUUGUAAAGAUAAGACAAAAGAGAGUAAUAAUAAUAAAAUCAAAGCUAGCCUGUGUUAUGAUUAUUGUUCACAUUAAAUCAUUACAUCACACAUGGGUUGUGCAGCUUCACACGUCGGAUGUGAGCUACACUAGGGAAGAUUUUUCGUCGCAUUUAUUUUGUAUUCGUCCAAAAAUGUUAAUUUCUUUCUUCUUUUAAAGAAAACAAUGAUCAAAGAGGGAAGAGCAUGAUUAUAAAUUGGUAUGGAUGAAAAAAGAUAAAGAAAAGAGAGAUAAAAACAAGUAAUCAUGAUGAUAUGCAGUAAUUAUAAAUGCCUUCACUUCGCUGCUUUUAUUUGUAUUGACAGAAAGUAAUGAUUAUUUUUGAAACGCAACCAAGAGAGAAAAACACAGAGCAAGCUACAAAACAAAGAUCAUAUGAUAAUAUAAAAUACAAUUUAUAACAAAAUAAAUAAAAUCAGUUUUGAAAUUCCACAGUGAGAACAAAGAGAAGAAAACAAAUGUGUUAAAAAGAAUAAAGAAAUCUGACAUUUUUUUGUUCUUUCGAUUGCCUCUGUUUCAAAGAAAAAGAUAUAGAUUAGAACUUUUCAUCAGUUAGGGUAAUAAAAAGAUAUAAAAAACUUUAAAUAAGAAGAGGAGAUAACUGAUUUGUCGCCAUGUUGCUUGCUUCUAGGUAUGAUGUUACUACAUAGUUUCUCGACUUAACGUAUAUGUUCGCAAAAGGAACAGAAACAGAGCAAGAAUAUAAAACAGAACAACAAAGAAGAGGCUGAGUAGAAGAAACAAAGCAAAGAAAAAGUAGAAUAGAGUAACGAAGAAGAUAACAGAGCAUAUAGAGAAGAACCCAUCUUGUGGUACAGCUUCUGGGAAGGUUGGUAAAUCUUCUAGAAGAUGCUGAAGAGAGAUAGAGAAAAGGUUAUACCUUCUGGGAAGGAGUGUUGAGACGCAGAGUAAACGAAAAGAGAGAGAGAGAAAGAGAGACAAAACUGUGUGUGUGGAAGGCAGAGGGACAAAGAGAACAAAGGGAGACACUGUCUGUUAUAUAGAUCCCCAAAAGCUAGAGAGAGAAGGUUCUUUAUCUCUCUUCUGACACAACAAUCAUACAUUUGCGUUGUGUCUAUGCAUAGAUGGCGGCCUCGAGUAGAGAGAUGUGUGCAUAUUGCGUCAUGUGAAUGAUUAUUAAGAGAAGAGAGAGUGGGUUUCUUGCUUGGCUUGCUUUUCUUUCGAAAUUGAUCUCCAGGGAUAUUUUCGUAGUUGCAAAAGAUCCUUCCCCAAGCCCUCUUCAUCGUAUCCAUCCUCCAAACCGUAGGAAAAUUCGUUAAAAGGGAACUAGUCCCAAGAGUACUUUUUGUAAUAAAAGGCUAAUUUUGUCAUUGUAGUAGAGAAGGCCAUCGACCUCUAAAGAUUCGCAAUGAUGUUAAAUAUUGGUUCGAACCAUCAUCCUUCCUUCAUUAUUCAAUUUUCAAACGUUUUGAACCAUUUUUAAUUUUUUUUUUUUUCAUUUCUCGGUUUGCUCAAAAUUGGUAUAGUUAAUACUACACUCAACCAUGGUUUAAGUUUAAAUUUCUUAGGAAUACAAAAUCAUUUUGUGCAAGAAUAAUGUUUGGAAUUUGGACUUUUGGAGCUCCAGACCUAGAAAAAAUAAUCAUGGAUAAUGGAUUAGAAGUGUAGUAGAACGUGAAACAUCGUAUAAACAGUAAGGUACUUAUUCUUAUUCUAUAACUCGUUCGUUUGCCCAUAACUGUAAGAAGGAAAGAAAUGACUACAAAUUUAACGUUUUGUAAACGGGACUACAUUUUCUUGUAUUAUCAUCUUCUACGGCUUCUUUUAAACUUUUUCAUGGAAUAAAUUCAAAAAAAAAUAUUUCUAGAAUAAAUUAUUAUGUUGAUUUUUAGAAGUUAAACUGAACCGAAACACAAUUAGUAGUAUUUUGCAAAUAUUAGAAGUUAAAACUGAACUGAAUCAUAAAAUGGACACUGAUAUACUGGUAUUUUGCAAAUGAGACACACAUUAUAUCGUUUUAAAUGUUUUCGGGUUGAUAAAAAACAAUUCGUUUUAGGUAAUUGGAUAGUUUCCACGCAAGUGUUAUUGAUUAGAGAUGUAUAGCGACGAUUUUAAGAAGCCGUGAUGUAAAGAUAUGUCGCUAUAAUUGGCUAUGAGAUGAUUUCUCAAAGUUAGUUACAAACUGGCAAGUGCCAAUUUUCCUACAUACAAUUUGUUGGUCCACAACGAAAGAUUGGAAGUUUUUUUUUUUUUUUUUUUGUCACAAAUUUUAUUAAUUCAAACUUAAGGCGUUACAACAUUUAUAACCGGAGGUAUGCUCGACGGUAAGAUGAACAACAAUAACACGGAAACAAUAAAACCUAAGAUAGAAAUGUUACAAGGAGAGACUAGCUCGAAGUAGAGAGAUCCGCGGAUAAUCUUCACUUGAAUCCUUGAAACCACAGCUCGAAAGAGCUUUAGAUAGUCUGAAAAGACGUUGAAAUACCCUAGUGAAAGGGGUUUGAAGAGGAGUGGGAAACCAACUGAGGCUAGCGCACCCGUCAAACGAAAGAAAUCAGCUCUACAACCGUCUAUAUUGCCUCGGGAGACUAUGUGAAUCUCAAUACAUCCGAGUAGCAAAAAGAUCGAUAAGCGAGAUGGUGAGGCAGUUGAAAUUCUUUUCUUCUCCGAUUCCAUUGGUGAAUUUAACAGUGAAACAAACAGCAUGGUUGCCAUUGUCGGAGCUUGAGCAGCCGAAGUCAGAGACUUCAUUAGAGUAGCUUGGUCAGAGAGAGUUGAACCAUAAACUCCGGUUCUAGAGACCUCAUCCGGAAGAGCAAAGGAUGCCAUACCCAAAAAGAAGAGGCUCAUCGUGACAGUUAUUGGCUCGUUGGUAGUGAUGGCGAGCAUCGACUUCCCCAAACAAACAAUGACAAGCAGAGAUAGGUGUAUGAAUUGGACCUUUGGCUGAUGUGCAACAGUGGCAGAAUCGAUUGACAAUUUUGACUUUGAAACCGAGUUCACCUUAGUAGACACGCUGAAUAUGAUGAGAUGUGAUGAUAGAGCAGAGGUUUUAAACGAUCCAAGCCUUUGGACUUUGG
rnacentral:lncRNA from 1 species